rnacentral:lncRNA from 1 species
GAUAUGUGAUUUGAGUACCUCUUUGAUUCAGAGUUCUGUACCUUUCAGCAUAGAGGAUACGACCUUGUGAUGUGCUGCAGGCAGCCAUCUAUUUCAGUUCUAAACUUUCUGUUAUUGUCAUCUGAAGUAUAUGUAUAUACUGAUAAAUGUUGACAUCAUACCUCAGCAAGCUGGGUAAUAGAAAGUUUGAUAGUGUUUGUAGUUAGUGUAUUACUAGUAGCAAUUUGUAUUGCAUGGUCACCUAAUGUUCCUGACCAUGCCAAGAUCGGAUCUGGAUUGCCUGAUGCCUCGGUGCUUUUGGAGGAGAAGCUCUUCAUUUGCUGCUUUCCUCAAAUUAUAGUAAGGGAAUGGGAGAUACUGCGCAGCCAGAACAUGGAGCCGGGGUCUUCGUGAAACCUGUAGGUAGGAGCUCGUAGGUUAUUUGAAUGAGAUUAGAUUUUACCUGUUUUAGAUUGCAAUGUAUUCUAGAUGUAGAGCCUUUUUGAGUCACAAAGGCAACAGGCUAUAUAGCGAUUCAUACAUCUUCAUUGUGCUGAGACCUCUAAUGGAGUGACAAACAUAUGUCAAAAGCAAUAUAGAAUGCAAUAUUUAGACCAGUUCGCUUUUUAGCAGUGUUUACUUGGGGUUUGCCUGCAGAUAUAAUAUCAACUCCGACCAGGUGGUUAACACAACAUUCGUAGGGUUGAAUUGGAUUCCUGCAACCAAACCAAGUUCUUAGUUAUGAUUUGGGAGGAUAAAGUAUUCGGCCAAGCUGUGAGAUUUUGGAAAUGUGAUGGUUACCGUGGUGGGAUAUAAAGUAUUCGACCAUUAGAAAUAAUAACGAGUUUUUCCCUUCACCAUUGAGUACAUAUUUGAGAAAGGUAUUGCAAAUUAGCUGUUGGCUACCACCAUAGCUUGUAAGAUUUGGUGGGGUGGGAGGUCAACGGUUUAAACGUUGUCUUUCACCAUUUGCCACUAUAUGUGGCUUGUUAUUUAAGUGUUUUUUUAAACGGCGUACAUCCGUCUGGGACGAUGAUUCAGUCCUUUCCGAUCUCUCAUUAGUCUUAUUCGGGUCCUCUUCCCUUAGUAUAGAUUAAGUGUAGGUCUAUUGUAAACGUGUAAACAAGUCGAGUUGAGUACAAUUUUGACUUAAUCGAGUCGAGUCUCAAAUUAAUUUUACGAAGUUCAAACUUGAGAUCGAACUCGAUGAAUUCAAAAUGUCGAGCUCGAGACUCAAAUUUGAGUUGAGCUUAAAAAUUUUUAAAAAAUAAUUAAUUUAUUUUAAAAAAUAAAUAAAUAUUUUAUUUUUUUAAAAUAAAUAAAAUAAUUAUUUUUCUAACAAAUAAUAAAAUAUUAAAUAUAUAUAUGUAAUUUUACUAUUAAAAUAAAAAAAUAUAUAAUCGAGCUCACGAGUCGCUCGCGAGCUAACAAACUUUGAAUUUGAGUUCGACUUGAUCCUCGAACUCGAUAUUGAUUGAAUUCGACUUGAACUCGUAUUUGAGCGGCUCGCGAGCGAUUUGAUUCGUUUGCAAUCAUAGUCUAUCGCGUCAGAAAAAAAGGGAAGGUAUUGCAAAUUCUACCUACACGGCUUGGCUACAAAUAAUAAUGAUGGGAUAUAUUUUUUUUAUUUACAAUUUGUCUAUAACCGAGUGAUAAGAUUUGACUCAUUAUCACUAUUUGGCGAUAUAAUAUUGAUAUUGACCCUAGUGCAGCGCAUCAGAAUUAUUAGUGGUGUAUGUGAAAAAUCAUAUUUUUUGUUUAAAAAAAAAUUAAUGAAUGCUCAUGUCAUUAAGACCAAUCUUAGCAACUACACUAAUAAAUUGAGUGACUAGUGACUAAAUUAAUACCGGAAAAACAAAUGUGAUUUUGGUGCAGAAAUAAGCACAGUAAUAACUUAGGUGCUUUUUCCUAAUUUAGAGUAUAUGAUUUUUAGUCUCAUCACUAUCUGACUAAUAUAUAUAUUCCUAACAACUUAACUUACGAUGUCGGACAUUUAUGAAGUAACGAUAAGCUUACGUCUUACCUACCUAGUCAUGACUGGAUUUACGAAGGUUUGUAACGGACUCCAUGAGUUUAGGAGAUAGAUUAAUCUAAAAUGCGUGCAAUUUAGGCCUAUGAUUUCUACAUAGCUGAAAUAGGUUCGAUUGGCUAGCCCCGUAGUCCAAAAAUGUUACAUAAACUGACUUGAUUCUUGAUGAUUGAAAUACUAUUCCGCCCAAAAGACUUCUGUCUGAUGAAACUGAAGUCGAAAAAGAUCAGAAACAUUUGCAUCUGAAACUUUCUUGAGCCGUCCCAUUGAUUUAACUUGUGAGGGAAUAAAGGAGCAGCAUCAACCCAGCUAAUAGAGGUCACGGGAAAUUUCUUCAUUGGGCAAUCCAUCAAUAUCAGAUGAAGCCGUAAGAGCAGUUUUUUUACUUCCAUCACGUAAUUUGCAGCUAUACUCACCUCUAUGUUUGUUCGUAAUUAAGUUUGAGUUCUACUUUAUCUUGAAGUUUUGCUCCAACUUUUCAGCAACUGCAGGAGAGUCGCCCCGUGACGUAUCUGGGUUAUAGAAAUGUCACAUGCGUAUUAGGUGUUUGUGAGAAUGACUGCUUGAAAGAUGAGUAUUCAUAGUUGGGUUCUCUGCCUGGGAUCGAGUUAUUUAGCUUAUUUGGUCUUCAUUCCAGCUCUUUUUUCUUUUUUUUUGGUUGGGUCAAUGAUGAUGUCAAUAAGAGUAGUAAUUACCUACUGCUGACUGUAAAUUUUUAGUCUGGCAGUUCAUUGAUCAUUUGUAUCAAUUUGCUAAUCAGUCUACUUUACCAUAUGCACUUCCUUUACGGUUGUCCUUUGGCUUAAAUGUUCAUUAAGUUCAAUUGAGAUUGUUCAUUGAUCAUAUUGACUAGGAAAUCAAUGCACGCAAUAGAAAUUUUGAAGAGUUUUGCAGACCGUGUUUCUGUCCUACGUCUGUAUUUUACGCAUUUCAAUCUACUUCUUCGUCUAAUUCAUAAUAUUCUAAUAUCAAGUAAUUGUUGUCUUUAUAACCUAGUGGUGAUUUUGUUUUCAAAAUUGACAGGAAAUCUCUUUGGCACAUCUAAACUCCUGCAGCUCUUAUAACUGGCUUUGGCGAAAGGGAAACUUUAUUCAUCGUAUUAUCCUGGACUUUUGGUACUGCUAAGAACAUUGGCCGAGUAUUUUACAGAUUAUAAUGUCCUUGCGUAGGCCUCCGCUUCCUCGCCUUCUCCUGAACAAUGUCUCUUGCAUGCGAAAUGCUCAGCAAAUACUUCGUCAUGUAAAUGUUUCUGUUCAUGAUGGUGGUCACUUGUGCUGACAGGCACCAAUGGCUCAGGCAAAACUACUUUCUUGCGCAUGUUAGCAGGAUUUCCAAACCAUCAGCAGGUGAGAUACUCUGGAAUGGUCAUGACGUCACAGAAUCUGGCGUUUUCCAUCAGUACAAGCUUCAGCUUAAUUGGCUCUCUCUUAAAGAUGCUAUCAAAGAUAAGUUCACCGUCCUUGACAAUGUUCAGUGGUUUGAAGUUCUUGAAGGCAAGCAAGGAAGGUCUCUGCCUGCUUUGGAGCUUAUGGGACUUGGACGAUUGGCAAAAGAGAAAGCAAGAAUGCUUUCUAUGGGUCAACGAAAAAGGCUGCAGCUAGCAAGGCUGUUAGCAAUUGAUCGGCCAAUUUGGUUACUUGACGAGCCUUCCGUGGCAUUGGACGAUGAUGGGUGAAAUUGCUAGAAUAUAUAAUUGCAGAGCACAGAAAGAAGGGAAGUCGCAUUGUGGCCACUCAUCUGCCAAUUAAGAUUGACGAUGCAAUGAUCUUAAGAUUGCCGCCAAGUUCCCAAGGAGGAUGACUUUAGUAGACAUGCUUGAUCGAGGUGGAUUAGAUUGAGGAUAUUGAUAUUCCUAAUCCAAACAUGUGAAAUGGUUUAUUGGAGAAACGUCAUGGAUCAAACAAAAAUCACAAGUAGGACUUCAGAUAAAAUGAAGAUUCUUCAUUAAUUGUCACUGUAAGUUUAACAUUUAUGUACAGAGUUUGUGCUUGCUAAAAGGGCAUCCGCAUCUUUCAUUUAAAGAAAACACAGUGAGACAGAGGCAUUUAUUCUAUAACGGUCUUUCUUUUGUUUCUGGUUCUAUUCUUUGGUGCAUGGCCUCUAAAUAACCAUCCUUGCAUGGACUAAUCAGAAAUCCAUCAUGCAACACUUUUGUUGCCUUCAUCCAACAUUUCGUUGUUCAUGUUGCAUGAUUUUAGUCUUCAAUCUAUAUGCUUUGUGAUCAUGGCAAUAGCAUCUUUGAAAUCUUGUGCAGAGCCUGUGCUCAAGGAAAACCAAAUUAAUUCUUGGGAAGUUGAGGAUAAGUAGUUUCAGCAAUCUGUACUUCAUUCUCGCUCUCGCCACAACGCUGGGAAGGUUGGGCUGUUGGGUGAUAUGUCCAGCAUUCCCAUUUUGUAUCGCAUCAGAGCAAAAUCUGAAUUUGUUAGUGCCUCAAUGUUAGAUGGGAUCUUUAGUUCCUCAAUAUAUUUGCCUCAGUUGCACUAGAAAUCAAUGUCCGUACUUCCACAAUUUUGCACUAAAAGUUACAUCGUGUCAAAGAUGAUGGGAUUUACACUUAUUUCACUUACUUAACUUAAGAUUUAAUAGUAUGAAAAUGCAUUCAUUUCCUCUGCAUUGAUAUGACAUAAUACUAUCGGAGUGAAACAGGGGGUCUAAAGGAGAACAGAGGUUAGACUAUAUUAGUAACAAGUAAACCUUUUGUGUGUAUUUACAAAUAUUUGGGGAAUAAAUACCAAUCGUAAGGUCUGAGACGACCCAGAAAGCACUUGAUCAUAUCAUGAUUAAUUUUGUAAGCCUACUUGGGUAUUGAGUAUUUACUUGUAAAACUGAAUUCUUUGGAAUCGAUAUUUGCAACUCCGGAAAAAGAAUUCAGUAAAAUUUUUCUUACAUUGAACCCUUUAUAUUAUAUAUGUGUGGAUAUAGGUAAACUUUAGCCGCACAACUUCAUUAAUUCUAGAAAAGUUAAAAGCUCUGAAUGAGAUUUUGCGUCCGGUAAUACAUGGGAUGCCUUCUCUAUUGAUUAUCAAUUGGAAACUGCUGAUAGUGAAACUCAAACCCGAGCUUCUCUUGAACAAGGCGAACGAUCUUUACUAGCUGUGGCAACUCUUAUUGGCUUUAUGGUUAGUCGCUAUUCACUCAAUAAUCUAAAAUACAAAACGUCCCAAUGUCAUAACUGAGGGAGUAUUAUAAUUUUGAUUUUGAUUCAAUGUCCUCAAUAAUGAUAGUUGGAAUGUUACAGAAGAAAUAUGGUCCUUGCAGAUUCUCAGCAAGACACAUGUUUGUAGUUGGUUUUGAGUAGGCCUGUUCAUCGGCGGGUCUAGACCCGGAUCCGGAGCGGAUCCGUGAAAUUAUUGUGGGUAUGGGUAUGGAUUUAAUUCCAUUCCCAGAUCCGUUUUGUCAAACAAAAAAACGGGUCGGAUACGAAAUAUAGUAUUCCGACCCGUAUUAGAUCCGGAUUCGGAUAUAAAUGAAUUAAUAAUUUAAAUAUAUAUAUUUAUCAAUAUAAUUUGAUUAGGGUGAUGUAUUUUAAUAAGUUAAUUUGAUUUCUUUUCUUAUUGGGUUUUUCUUUGCAUUAGUUAGAAAUUAGUUUACAAAUAUAUUUUUUUCUCAUUUUAAUUAGAAAUUAUAAAUUUUGAUAAAUUUGUUCGGGUAGACCAGGAUCCGGAUCCGGAUCCGGGACCCGCCGGAUCCGGAUCCGGAACAUAGAAUAAAAGACCCGUCGGAUAAACGAGUCGGAUCCGAAUCCGGCAUAGUAAUUCGGGUCCGAGCCCGAAAUAAUGAAUUUCGAUCGAAACCCGACCCAUUGACAGCCCUAGUUUUGAGUGCUUUGGAAUCAUAAAUCUUCUUAGGUAGGACUCGUAAUUGUGUAUCUCAGGAAAAGUGAGCAGUUCUAGAAAUUCUCCAGAAAUGAUGGACGACUUGUCCAAUUUGCUAUUUCUUGAUUGCCGCCAAUGCCAAUUGGUAACAUCAUCAGCACCUUUCAUAUCUCUUGAAAAAGAGAAUGAUGGACCGGACCCGCCAUUGUUCAUUUCUUCAUCAAAAUGGACAUUAUUGACCAUAACCAACCAAACAACAAAAAGUUGUUGCCCGCGGAUAAGGAAACUAUAUAUGACGAGACGUAAUUGUAAAAUUUAUAACUAUCAACACUCUCGAGUGUUGACUACAUAUUUUGAUUCCAAAUUUCGUACUAGUAUUGGAUGUUUUGUGAUUUUUUUGUGUCAGUUUUCUCAAUGUUGCCUUCAAAUUUUUUUUUUAAAUUAAUACAUGUUUCACUCAUUAUAACAGUAGAAUAAAAUAGAUAAGACUUAAAAAAAUAAAAGAAAUCAAUAUAGAAGUAAAUUUCUUACUGGUUUUAAAAAUUAGAUUGUGCUAGAAACUAAGAGAGGAUCUCAAGGCAAAAAAAAAAAAAAAAGAAAAAGAAAGGGAAUCACUAACAUGGACGUUAAUAUAAAUUUACUCUUAUUCUCGAGGUGGCAUUUAGGCUUUUUUUUCCUUAAUUUUUUUAACAUUAAUGGUUCCUCAACUUUGAAAAGGUGAUUUAACUAUUUUUUUUGAGUAGGCAAAAAAAGGUUUAAGAAUUCUUUUGGGAGAAGAAUGAUUUAAAAUACGUGUAUCAUCAAUACGUGUCCUUAGUAAGAAUCUCAUUUUAUUCUUUUUUUUUUUUGAAGUUUUAACAACUACUAACAAAGUAAAAAAUAAAUAAAUAUAGCAUACUACAAAAUAAAAUGAAAUAAUUAUUUUUUUUGCUAUAUUUUGUUUUUGUAGUCUAUUGUAUUUUAUUUCUUACCCGGUUAAGAGUUAUUGAAACUUUAAAAAGAAAAUGAAUUAUGAAAAUGAGACGGGAAAAAUUGAAAAAAAAAAACACACACACACAACACCGUAAUGGAAAGAUACGUAAUGCCUGCGCAGUAAGAACUAGUGUUCCAUUCUCAGUACUUAUCGGACCUACAGGCCGCAUUAUGCGCAUGUUCUUCCACUAUCAGCAAAAAAAAAUUAAGGGAACUAGUGGUGUUCUUUUUAUUGUUUCAGCCGUCUGGACUCUGAACUAAGUUCAGGCAAUAAUAAUGAAGGAACAUUCAUGGCUUUGCACUUUCAUCACACAGAUUUCCCUCUGUUUCUGUGUUUACCUAGCAUUUAACAUGGGUGACAGAACUGAGAGUAGCAGCAGGCCUGUUGAGACGUACUUUAUGAGUGUUGCAGGAGGUUUUAGGCCUGAAAAUGAACAGACCCUUCUUCUCAAACUGGUCAGUUUCUCGUAGUUUGCAUGGCUUUCUAUUGGUAAUAAAGAAAAUUUUGUGCUUUUUCAUCCCUUUUCAUUAGAUACCGGGUUUUUAAAUUAGAGGUUUGGAUUAUUGGGUUUGAACUGUUGGUCUAAUCUGUUUUAUUUGGUGACUUUGAAGGUUGUUUCUUGGCUGAUUUAAUUACUGCUUUGUUGUUAGAUUAUGGCCGAAAGGCAUUCUUGUACAGAGAUCAUUUUCUAUUGUUCAUCUGACAGUACUAUUACUGAUAGGAUUUUCUCUGUAGUUUUAAUAUGAAUGUUUGUUUAUUAGCUGUUCCAAUUUAAAGCCAUCCAAUUAUGCGGUGAGAGUUUUGCUUAUAUUGUCAUCUUGCUUUUGUGCUUGAUUUGACUGGAAAUUUCGAUUCUCUGUAAUGUUGAUGCAGAUGGAGAAGGUGGCAAAAGUGUACAAAGUACAAUUUGUAGUGAGCAUUAGUGAACUUGGGAAAUGAUCCUCUCGCCUGAAUGUAAGGCAUGACUUUUUAAUCGUUUAAAUGCACCUUUAUGCUGGAUUGUUCACCCAGUUCGAAGUUACCUAGAUAAGCACAAUUAGGUAAAAUUUGCUUGGUUAGACGUGUACAUAUUGAAAAAAUGACAGGCAAUCAAUAAACUCAAUACAGGAAUCGCUAACAUUAGAAACUAGCAAUGGAUAUUUUCUCAGUCACCUACCUACCUGUCUCCUGCAGAAAAGAUUACUGUUUUUGAUAUUGCUGUAAAUAUAUGUACUAAUGGUGGAACUGAUUUCGUCUGCUGUUGUAAUAAAUUCUACUUCUUCUCAAAGUACGGUUUACUCUUGUGAGGAACGGUUGUUUGUAGUCACCUACACCUGAUUUAUUUGUGCCAAAUAGUUUCAUGAAUCUGAUAAUUUGUGCAUGGUUCAUCAUCUCUUGAAGUUUCCUCAUAUAAUUCCGUUCUGUAGAGCAAAAUACAUUUCAUCUUGAACUUGUUCUUUUGAAGUAUCCUUGUGGUAGCAAAAUUUAGUUUUAUAGCAAAAAAUUACACCAGUCACAUUAUGGGUCUGAUUGGGAUCUCAUCAGUUAUUUAGGAUCUUGUUUUUACUUGGUAGUUUUAGCUAUAAGCAACUAAAAUGCAUUCUUUCCUAACAGGCCACGUGGUAUUUUCAGUCUCUAAAACUUCCCUGGUAUACCAUCCUUUACCAUGUCUGACUUUGGCAGUCUUAGUUGGAGGUUCAAAUUUGUUUAAAGUCCUUUUUCCCAAUUUCUCUUCAGCUGCUGUAACUUGUAGGUACACAACAAAAUCAUUCAAAGGACAAAGACCUGGUUCCUACCUCAAGCAUACAAAAGUUCAAUAUGGGAAAACCUUAGAUAUUGUAAUUGUGAAUACAGAGUUAUUUCAGGUAUGAAUCAUGCUUAACACAUGAACUUGAAUAUUCCCUUUCUUGCAAAUAAUAGUAGUCAUUUAAUUUUCUGAUGUAUCAUUAAAAGUCAAUUGAUGUUGAGGGUACAUGUUUUUGGUUUGUUUGAUUGGGAACAGUUCGUAUACUAGCAGGGUCAAGGUAGGGUUGGCAACCCUUGACUUUUCAAAUAGUGCUUUCUAGUUCUUUGAAUCUACUGUUGUGUUUAAGGGGUAUACAUCAUAGAAAUCUGCAGAAGAUCCUGUCCGUAAUUGGUGGCCCCAGUUUCUGUGCUAGAUGCAUCUAUACUAUGAAUUAGUUUCCCCAUUUCAAGAUUUUGCCUCCAUCCCUGUUUUCAGUGAAACCAUUUAAGGACAUUACCUGAAGUGUACAAUUUUGAGACAUGGUUUUGAUGCAUGGUUCUGAUGAUGAAUUGAAAUGAAGAAGAAAUACCAUGUGCAGGAAUGCUAGAUGCAUGAGCCUAAAUGAUACUCGAAACGUGUUAUUCUCUUCGGAAAAUAGAUCAUAUAAGAACCUGGAAAUCUCAAGGAAAAACCAAGUUUCCCAGUAAGAUGGACAUGGAAAUUAUCAAAGCUAAGGAGAAAGUGGCUUAAGUAGCAUUUACUUUUGUCUUACAAUUGCCUGGGGAUUUGGAUUUGAUCUUAUUCUUUCUUUACUUGAACAUAAUCCCACCAUUCACUUUAUACCUUCUAAACUUGUUUGGUUUUAAGGGGAGUUCAAUGUACUAAUUAAAAGUUCAGGUCAAUAUGUAUAAAUGUUCAAAUUCGGAAGCAAAAAGCCUACAUUCAAGAGAUUACAUCACAUGGUAGGCAUUGAAAAUGUUCAGUUUCGGAAUAAAGAGAUGCCUAUAUAUAUUACACAUAAGCGGUUCUCUUGCCCUCUCCAAAAGCAUGGUUCGCAAUAUGUUUCAGUAUCGGCUGAGUUGUAACCGGAACAGAGGGACCGGUUUUAUACCCAUCCCGAAUCGCGAAUAUCACUAUAUCCACGACGACUCGCUCUGACUCGGCCGAUAUUGGCCGAUUCAAAUCCGUGAUGCAUGAUAUCGGCCGAUAUAUCCAAGUCAACUCGGAAUUGACUCAGAUUUUUUUAAAAUUGUGUCUUUUUUUGGUAUUUUCUAAUUUUAGUAAUUUUUUAAAAAUUUUUGGAAACUUUCAUGUGCUAUAUAUGUGCAUAUCACCCAAUAUUCAACCGAUAUGCCGCGAUGGAUGUGGAACAACCAAGACCGCGACACAACCGUGACCCGCGAUGGCGAACCAUGCCCAAAAUUAUGCUCCACUGUAACUGCACAAUCCCUGUUAUUAAGCUCUUCUCAUCCGUCUUAUAGCCCCGCAUUUAUGAGUUUUGACAGGUUUCCUAGAACUAGAUUUCACUUGAACCUUUUUAUACCUAGGUCCCACCCUUUUGGCAGUCCUUGCCUAAUGUCAUAGAUCAGCUUGAGUGAUGAAAGAGCUACUAUGUUUUGCUCCGUACUUGAACCAGCUAAUUGUUAAUCUUGUAAUGGUGUCCGCAACUGUUAAAUGAAUAAGAAGAGAAGAAGAAACAUACUUCCAUUUCCUAGUGGACCAUUAUGGUCCUUAGCUGCAUACUUCACUAACUAUUUUCCUGCACUCUCGUUUUCAUUACCUCUUAACAAACUUGUAUUCUCCAGGGCCCUUCAGCUGGUGCUAUUGAGCAUCAGUUACUGUGGCUCAUGAAGACACUGGAAGAAAGCACCAGUGACUGGUAAGCUAUAGCUGGUAAGAUAUUUAUUGGAAAUGGACAAAAAUUAAUUUAAUGUGAACAAUGAUGUGGCUUAUCUUCCUGGAAAUAAGAUUGUCAACUUUGGAACCAAUUUCAAGGGUAAAUGAAAAGUAGCUUUUUUCUUCUGAAAAUUUUUUGCGCAACUAUUGUGUAGCUUAGUUGUAUGACUAUGCAGUAAAAGAAUAAAAAACCAAUGGUCUAAAGCUUAGAAUCUUGCACUACUUCUUAAAGAGGAUUACAUUUCUUCUUUCAAGGCCUGUUGCUACCUUCCGUGGCAGCUUGCUCCAUACUUUUUACAUUCAACCCACUGUCAAUUAUUAACAUCUUCUGGUUUGCUUUUUGGUUUUCCUAUUGGGGCAAAAGGCGCAUUGUUGUUGGUUUCCACCCACUGUUAGCUUGUAAUGGAAGUACGGAAGCUAAAGACAAUCCUCUGUGUCUUCAUGAAAUGUUUUUGAAUCAUCGAGUGGUGAGUGGUAGUUUUGGCAAUCAAAUUCUGUCCAUAGCAUUCAAAUAGUAAACCUUCAAUGCAAACACCUAUUCCCAAAAUUCCUGACAUAACUGAAUUCAAAGGCCCAUACUUCUCUGAUGUUUCAUGUAUCUUCAAGCUUCCUCCUGAAUCUCCUGAAUCUUUGCAUAUGAACUUUGUCCUAGUAGGACGCUUACCUCAGUGGCCAUGCUUGUACCGAACAUGUUCACAAACAGAGUGCAAAACAGCCUGGUAAUGCUGAUCAACCGGGCAAAGGACCUUGUCUUACUCCAAUUCGUAGGAUAUUUGAUCAAAACAAGUGAGUGCUUCAUCCUUGUUCUAAUCUUCUAAGGUGAUGUUUAUGCCUGAAGCAUUAUUGAUAACCAUCUUCUACUGUUUUGUAUCUUUUCCAGGGAAAAGGUGAAUGGUUUGCUUCUACACAGAGUCAGUUCCUAGAACUGGUGAGUGUUAACAUGUUAUGAUUUGUCCUUUGAAUAAUCUAAAUUUUGAACUUCUGUAACCUCCAAUUUUUUUUUUUUUAUAACAGGUAACUUAUUCAAUAAACUUGGAGGGGGAUGUUGCACACAAGAUUGAACUUCAACAAAGUGGUAGAGAAGCCAUGUGAUGUGCUCAAAGACCUUAUAAUCAUCCCAAAGCCUUGGUGCUUGUUUUGCUCUACCUUUUGUCUUCUGUAUAGAUUUUCAAUUAUUUUCAUAAUUUUAAAUACCAUGUCUUUGAUCUCUUUCUGAGUUUCUGGCUUAACAGUAACAAUCUUUGAUUUGGUUCCUGAGGUACCAUAUUAGGUCCUGCAAUUUAAGCAUACUGAGUGGUACAUUUGCUGGAGUUGUUUCUUGUACCCUUUAUGAGAGGCUUGUUAUUCUUGCGUCUGGUCUUUGUGGAUAAGGUCAGGAGAUACACAUCCUUUCCACUACCAAUUGAUAUGCUAAAAGUCUUCCCUUUCCAAGAUAUGCAACCAUGAGCAAGUCAUUCCUUCCAAGAUAAAGUUUUGAGCACUCCUAUUAACAUGACCUUACAGAAAACGGCUGAAUUAUAUGGGUAAAAUUUUUGCAUGUUGCCCCCUUAUAUACCAAAUAACUUUGAAGAAUCUUGAUUUACAAAGCAUGUGAAUGAACGUUCUUUAUUCGAAACUGUAGAGAGAUAGAAUUUUCACAUAGUCGACCUUUUGUUUUCUAGUCAAGUCCUACAAAUUUAUUCACUAGUAAGUUGUAAAAUUCUAAAGUUGUCUUGACAUUAUCAUUCCGAUGGGAUUAGAAACUGGGCUGUACAGUCUUCCAGUCGCUUUAUUUUUCUAUACAUACGUGUUAAUCGCCUUGCUUCUAAGUUACUCUUGAGCGUAUGUUGGUUUUGGCCGACUUUAAUUCUUAUGUAUGUGAACUGUUCUACUAGGUGCGGUUUUGGUGAUAUAGAAUAGAGCUGGUUGCCUUCCAAAGGGCCUUGGUGCAAUUCUUUCUUGAUCUUUUUGUGCCAUGAUCAUAAAUCUCCGACAAGUGGAAUUAGUCUUUCUAGGUAUUCACUUGUUGGAUUGUAGAAAUUGAUCCUAGGGUCUCCCAAUUGUCAGGUUCCAUAAAUUGUAGAGAAAUGAUCCUAAGGUCUAUUGUUGGAGAAAUUGAUCCUAGACUAUUUUGUUAAAUUUUGUGUUCAAGAAAUUGAUCAUUGUCUCCUGUUGAAUUUUGGAGUCCUCGAACAUCGAAUAUACUGGGGUUCUCAACUUCAUAAAAUUUGCCUAAUCAGCAAAUCGGCCAAAGAUAUCAAGGGAGGGAUCCUGUAGAGAUUAUACUCGAAGUUAUAUUGUGUUUGGUGUUGAACAGUUGUCUAAGUUAUUGGUUGUGCUCGCCUCGAUUAAGCCAUCUGCCAAGUGACACCCAAUCCAAUGUAUGAAGUUGGAAGGGAAGGCGGCUAUGAAAGGGAGGCGAAGCAGAGUUGACAACUACCGAGAUUGAUCCUCUGCACACCGAGUCAUGGCACUCACAUUGAUCCUCAGCGCACCCACGAAGAGCCCCCCCCCCUCUCUUUUAUGUUCCAAACUGCUAUUCGCUACUUACUAUUAAACGAUGCAAUAUGUUUUACCUUUUUAAGUAGUGGUGUGUAUUAGUUACUUGUUUUGAAGUUUUGCUUCUUAUUGAGAAACUAUGUAUAGUUUUGAGAUGCAGGAAAAACCUGUAGGUCCUUGCACCAUAUAUCUAGUCUUACAAUUCUGAGGUAUCACUGUUAACAAUUCUAGAUCAUCAACACUUGCAUAAUGAGGCUGGCUUAGGUAAUACACCUAAAUAACUGUAGUUGUAUGGCUGGAAACCUUGAGGUACCCAGUCCCUUUGCUAUUUCGAGACACACUGCUGGCACAGUGGUCUUUCUUUCUGCAACAUUCAACCUUCCUCCAUCUUAAAUCUGAUCAUUGAGUAUAGUGAGUAGGGUCCAUCCUAAUAGGAUUAGAUUUUGAAGAAUCUAAUGUUAACAAAUGAUGAAAGAAGUAAUAUGAACUUUUACAUCUGGAUUGAAGUCAGUUGAUCUCAGCAUAUGUAGAUGACAGCUUUGACCAAAUUAAGAAUAUAUUUUACUCAUUGUUAAUUUGCACCUCACUUGUAAUUUGGAAUUCUAGCAGAAGAGAAGUUUGUUUGACAAGAAAAAAUCGGCUGAAGCUGAUAACUUAAGCAUAAAGUAAAGCAGGUUGACUCACUUAAAACUUUGAUUUUGAAAAGAAGUAGUGAUAGUAUGCAUGCCCUUUCAUCGUGAUAGAACAGCAGUUCAAGUUUGACUGUUACAUAGGCUAUCAAGUGAUGCCCCAUAUUGGUUGAUUACAUGAGCCAUACAAAUGAGAGUGGAUAAUAUAUAAGAUUAGAAAUUCAUAUAGAAUCAUCACUUCUACUUACCAUGUGAUUAAGCAAUAGAUUUGUUCAUGUGGUAUAGUAUUGUGAAGAAUUUGGUUUAGUGAUCUCCUUCCUCUCUCUACUCCUCCAUACCUCACCAACCAAUGCCAAGCCACCAAAAAUAAGUAAAUAAAUUGAUUGAAAUAGGAAACAGAAAGUGUAACAAAUCCAGAAAAUUGUAACUUAAGUAAGAAUAUUUGACUGUGAACCGAUAUGUGAAAAGAUUAUCCUUCAUUGUACUCUUGCUUUGGGAGGAAUGCAGGCGUUCAUGGAUCAUACAUGCACAAUAUCUCAUGGAAUCAAUUCAACCUAUGAAGAUAAUUUGUUUUUUCAUUCUUAGCUUUGCGAUAUAGGCCUUUAGUAUGUCCAUUUGAUACAUUGGUGCUUCAUCUCAUAAUAUAAUAGAUAUCUUUUCCUUGCAUAACUUGUAUUAGUGGUGUAUUGCUUGACCUUUCUUACUAGAUGACAUUGCUGCAUAUUGUCUUCGAUGAUACUUACUUUUCAACACUAUAAUUUCUAUUCUGUUGCCAUAAAAUUUGAAGUGCUUUUAGAGCAACCUGAUAUUUGAAAACUUUGGGGAAUAGUUCUAUUAUGGACUCAAUCCAAUACUGCUCUUGAUAAGGGAAGCAAAUGAAACCACCGUAUUUGCACCUUAGGAUGUCCUUGUCUCUCCUUCAGAAGGGGGAAGUUGGUCAAAUUGUACAGUUAAUGUAGUUUACGGGGAAUAUCAACUGUUUUUUGAUUUACCUGAAGUAUAUUCUAAGUGCACCUUGUAUAUUUGCUAUCACAACCUUUUGGCCUUUUGGUAAUUGAGGGGUCAUUUGGUUUAUGAGAUGAUGCAGGAUUGCAUUAUUAAUCGUGUCAUCCUGUUUUGCUGUGUUUCUGGUUGGGAUCCAUUAUCCCAUUCUCAAAUUUUGUCCUAUAGACUAGCAAUACAUCCUUGUUAUUGAUGUGCAAACCAAACUUAUUCUCUUCCGUUUUGAUUUCCCUGUAUAUAUGUGUGUUAUAUCCACUCCAAUUGUAUUAUCUGCUCUUUUGUAUUUUAACGUGAUUGUGAUUGAUAUGGUUUUGUGUUGUAAGUAUUUGAUGGUAAUAUCUUGGGGAAGAUCAAAUAGAGGCACACAUAAAAAGAGAUGCACAUGGACAACCACACACACAUGCAGGUUUUUUUUGGGGGGUUUUUGAGGGGGGGGGGGGGGGGGGGAGAGGUGAAGGACCGCUUAGGAGAAUGAAAUGGUUUUGGGAGCUCAAGCAUCUUCCUCGUGUCAAUCUCCAUACCUUUGUGACAGAUGACUCCAAAGUCGUCUUAUGAUUUUUUUGGCAAGCAAGACUGACUUAGUUUGACCUUCUGUGGGGGAGAAAAGGGGCAAAGAAUAAAUGAAGGUGAAAAAACAGAGGAUCAUGUUAAUAAACAUCAAACUUAAGAAGAUCUUCAACAAAGAAAAUGGCUUGUCACCCUAUAGAUAUAAUUGAAUGCAACAUCCAGGAAAAAACAGACUUGGUUUGUGUAGCUGUACUUAGUAGCUGAUUUAUCGUUCGUCUUUUGGAUGUUUAUUUUUAGUUUGUGUCCUUUUUGCCAAAUAGUCGAUAAAGAGCUGAAUUGGAAUGCAAAGGGGAUUGUGAAUAAUAGUUAAGUGCUUGGGUAAUAUCUAGUUAGGAGGGAAAGGAAUACUGAGGUCUUUUAAGUUGCUCCUCCCAAAUAGUUAAUGUUACUGAGUUCUAGGGAAGCGGCCUUCUUUAUGUUGGUAUCUGCUGUUUGUUCUUAAGCUUUAUGUUGGACUGGGUAACCUAGUUAGAAGUAUAUAUUGGCUUCGAGUGAAUAAAGAUUCAGUUCAUGAUCAAAUUUGACAAGCAACGUUUUGAUGUACGAUGUGUUUUCUCCCAGUAAUUAUUAGUUUGGAAUUCGAUAGACAGAACGAAGAUAUCUGAACUCGCUGCAAUCAUGCUUGUGCUAUGCUGUCAUCUUUUUGACAAAGAUGAAUCAUUUUGAGAUCAACAUCUCCCAUCUUUAUCCCACGAACCUUGCCUUCGUUGCAUUGCAUCAUGUGCUGACAAAGUUUGUGAAGUGCUGAAGUCCCAUCCAUCAUCUUUUGCAGUGGGACAGCAGAGCAUUUUUUACAAUUAUGUUCAUGGGAUAAGGUAAAAAUUGAAAUCGGGCAUUUUGUUACUGUUAUUUAGCAAAGGGAAGCGUGGACUUCUGGUGUAAAAAAACAAAAAAACAAAAAAAAAAAAGGCAGACGGGUUGCUUUAGCUGAUAUCAAUGAGAAAAGCCAAUUUUCUGCUGAAACUACAGAUUCAAGAUGUGCAGUUUACAUAUUGUACUCUCAAAACACUACUACUGUACUAUAAUAAGAAGAAAAAGUUUGCCCUGUGGUGUGGUGCUCUUCCCAUUCACGACACGGAUAGACUAAUGGUAGAAUGCUGCUGCUCCCAUCAACUUCAGUCAAUGAAUUUCCGGAAACGCAACUUCCAACUUGGAAGUCACGGAUUACGAUGGUUUCUUUAAGAUUUAAUAACUAAAAAAUUGUUAGGUGGGAAAUUCAUAUACUACAUUUUAUUACAGCUAAAGAUAGCACUAGAAGUCUUUUCAUGAUGGUGAAAGUUUGAAUCUGAGAAAUCUAUCUUCAAUUUUUUUUUUUUCCUUCCCAAACGCUAUCUUCAAUUUUGUUUUGUAGUUAAAAUGUGUACUCAGCACCACCAUGGUUUUGGACCUCAGCCACUUUUUGAGGUCUAUUCUGCCGACUUAUCGUCCAUGAUUUGAUUUCAUAAUCAUACGUCAAUGACAAAUAAAUGGAGCAUCUCUAAUUCCUUUCCCUUUGCUUUAAUUAAAUGGUGUCUUUUGCUAUUUUCUUUUUUUAAUAAUCUUUUUUUUUUAUUCAUUAGUCAUCUAAUGAAAUUAGUGGCUCUAGAAUGAAGAGACGAUGUGAAAAUUAAAAAAAAAAUAGAAAAGAGGAAAGAAGGCAAAGAAAAAUCGAAAUUAAGAUUAAAGAGAGGCAAUUUUGUCUCAUGAGGUAAAGCGACACAACUGAAAGGUUAGGAAAUAAGGUGAGAAUGAGGCCAUACCUAAAGGGGAUUUAUGGUAAUUAACCCUAAAUUUCUACUUCAAAUGAUUUGAGAAGGUCAUGAGUAAAUGCAUCCCAACAUUAUUAUUAAUAUUUUCUUUGUGGGAGAUAGAUGUCUAAUUCGAAUUAAUAGGUGACUUCUCGUGGUGAAGUGCGGGUUUUUUGAGUUCAAAAUGAUUUUUGGGCAUGCUACUUGAUCUUUAGAUGUCAAAAGGUCAUUGGACUGCUGUCCUUUCUUAUUAGUUGGUCUUGCUUUAGGAAAAGAGCUAGUAGUACUGUGUAGUUGGAUUUCAUGCUAUUAUUUCGAUUGGACUUUUGUGAUGAAACCUUUCGUUAUAGUUAUCAUAUUUGUCUAAACGGAAGGUUACAUGAUUUGUCAGAUCACCUAAGCAGGAUGUUAUCAUGUUUUCUCUUUUCACAUUUGCACUAAGAGAUGAGGCUGCAAAAAUUUCCUUGUCAAUUCGUUUCCAAAAAAAAAAAUUUUUUUUUUUUUGAUACAAAUUGCAAAGAUUUUGGUAACACAUUAGUUUAGCAAUAAUUUAAAAAUCUUACUAGCGGGUUUAAACUAUAAUGGAAAAUCAUACUGGGCUUCAGAAAAAUGUAGCACUAAAACUAAUUAUGAUUACUAGCGGGUUUAAAAGAGUAAAGUGAUAGUGCCAAACUAAUUAUGAUUUUUCUCUUUUUUUUUUUAUAACUGGGAGAUUUUGAAUUCAAGAACUCAUGCUUACAAUCAAAUCAAAAUUUGGUUUUGCGUAUUAUGCAGUCAGCAAUCAAGUAAAACCUUCUUUGGCAAAGCUAAGUUUGUUUGCUACAAGUCUUUUAACAAUUUUAGCUGCAAUAAUCUCAAAAAAUUUCUCAAAGUUUUUAAACUAUACAUUUCAAAAUAUCCAAAAAAUUACACACUUCAAAAAAAUUUUCUACAGCUUCUACCGUAAGUUACAAAAAAAUUUCCACAUGAGACCUAACUAAGUUUAACAAUUUCCACAGUUAUUUUUGUUGCUCAUCCUGAUGAGGCCAAGAGAUAUGAUGCUUAAAUAACUAGUCUUCUGAACACCACCAAAACCAAUUAAUUAAUUGUUCCGGUGAAAACAGUUAUCUAUCUAAAAGUCAAAGAAUCACAAUCUUAGAAAGAAUAGGUUCUGUGGCUGUCAAUGAGUUAUCACACGACAAUUCUUGAUCAAAAGUAAGACCAGCUAAUCAGUCACUACUGGAGAAGGAUUAACUUUUCCCGAAGUUAAUUUAGGUUUAGAAAAAGAAGUCUUUUGGUAUAAAUUUCCUUACGGGACAAAAUUCAAUGAUGACAACAACCAUUCUGGUUUUUUUUUUUAAAUUUUUUUUUUGUUUUGGUUGCUGUGGGGGGGGGGGGGGGGGGGGGCUCUGAAGUAAGUGGUCUAAAGUGGUUAAGUUAAGAUGUGUUCGUUGACCAAAGCACCACAGCUCCUAUGAAGGCAACUUAAUUUAGGUAAGAAUUCAGACAUUUGAGUCAAUGGCUUAGGGAGAAUUCUUUGUAAGUUUAUCUUUGGACUUUGUGUGUUUCUCGUUUGUAUCAAGUUGUCAAUUGGACGAUUUGGACAGAACUCAAAAGCAGCCGAAAUUAGCAAAUCAACAACAAGAAACAAGUUUUCAUUAUUGAGAACUGAGAACCCAAAAGCAUUGACAAGAAAUGUUUAAUCUCUAAGCCUAAAAAGAAGGACAGAAGUCUUUUAUUGUAACCAUGCACUUAAGGUUUGAUUUCGCCAAGCUCUACCUCCUUGAUGUCUAUUCCCAUUUACGUAUUAAAAGGAUUGUUUUUUUUAUUAUUAUUAUUUGCUUUAGUUAUUUUCUUACCUUUUGGAUUUUUUUUUUUUUGGAGAAUUGAUCACCUUUUGGAAUUCAUUCCAAUUAACUAUGAGUUUCAGAUUAAGAACUUUUGUUUCGUCUAUUUCCUCAAUAAUCAAUUGAUCAUGACUCCGAAUUUGUUUACGUGCAUUAGAAUAACUUAAUGGCACAAUUAAAUAUUCUUUAAAUAUAUGUCAUACAUGAUUUAUAAAAGGGUAAAAAAACAAAAAAGUCCCCGUGGUAAACCUAAUAUACAGAAAAAAUCCUCCGUGAUUUUAAAACGUACAACACGAGACCUCAUGUUUUGAACUAAAUUGUUAAGAUGACGGAAUCCGUUAAACUUAACGAAAAUGGAUGAAAUGAUAAAAAUGUCCUAAUAUAAUUAAGCAAAAGACAGGUCAACAAAAUUAUUUGUUUUAUCCUCUAGAGAAAGAAAAUUAAGAGUUAAGGGGAAAAACAGGUAUAUUUGUUAAAAAUUAGAUAUAAUUUUUUUUUUAAAUUCUAAUAAGCCAUUUCCGUCAAGUUUAACGGAUUCCGUCAUCUUUACAAUUUAGUUCAAAACAUGAGGUCUCGUGUUGUACGUUUUAAAACCACGGAGGAUUUUUUCUGUAUAUUAGAUUUACCACAAAAGGUUUUUUUUUAUUUUUUACCCUUUAUAAAAGUGUAAAUUGGUCAUUAAUUGCUUGAGUAUUGCAAAAAUUGAAUGGGGUCAAUUUGAUGAAAAAAAAAAAGAAAGAAAGAAAACGCUUCUGUUAGAGGUCCGAAAGUGAUGGAAAACAAAGGGUGUCUUUUACAUAAUUGACCAACUUGGAACUUUUUUGGAAAAUGAUAAAAGCAAGAUAUAAUGUACACACUAAAAAUUAAUCUUCUUCUUCUAAUAAGCUGGAGAGCACUGGAUUUAUUCCGAAUUACUCAAAACAAGAACUGGAUUUUGUAAUGACCAUACAAGAGACGAAUAUUUUUGGAUUCUUCUUGAAAGGUACGUGCGUGUUGUGGAAGGAUAGAAUAAGGGCGACUUUGCUUAAGAGAGACAAUUGGUAUAAUUAAACCUGUAAAUGCAGGUGAGUUAAAUGUGUUUGCUUCCCGUGUUGUCUAAUGCAUCAUUGGGCUCCAAAGGUAAGAGAAGGGGGGCGGGGAGUCCCGUCUAGCGUGUUCUCACCUUUUGGAAUGGCAUUUUUCUUCAAAAAAAAAUUUCAUAUUUUUCGUAAAUAUAUUUUUUUAUAAAAUUACUUUUUUAUCUUACAUACAUUAAAAUCGUUGUAAUAUAAUUUUUCUACAAAAAUUACAAGAAAAAGCAAUCCAAACAAUACACAGUCCAAUUCUUUUACGAAACUAUAGCAUAAUUGCUUCACUCUUGUCCCUUUCUCUUCCUCUGAAUUUUGAUAGUAUCCCCUUUAACUUCGUAAUUGUCCCCUAAAAGUGUGUGAACCCUUACGACCAUCUUCAACAUUUCUAUGAGGAAACAUUGAACUAAAAUAUAUAACAAGCUGAUACUUUUUUCCUUUCUAAUAAAUGUUAUUGUAACGCUGUGUGAAUUGAUUGAUUAUAUCAUUUAUUUUUUCAUACUAAAUUUUAUUUUAAGGUUCUGAAUUCUAAUCCCUCAUUCCCUUUCCCCCCGCUUAUACACACACGCGCGCGCACACACAAUCCCAUAUAUAUUUUAAAGUUUACGCUAAUCACUCCUAUACACUAAAAUAUAGGGGGAGAAAAAGGAAAAACUGACCUUGAGACAAGUAGGACAUUUUUACACAAGAUGGAUCUGAACCAUUAAUGUAUGUUUGGAUUGUCGAAUAAUUUAGCAGUUUAUGAGAUGCAAUUGGACAUGUCAAAUGAAUCUAUUGGCAAUCUCAAGCAUAAUAAUAGAGCCAUGAAACCCUAAAGAUGUGAGAAAUCCACUUCCAUUUCGUCCUUUAAUUUCCAUCUAAAGAAAGCGUUGACCUGAAUGGAUCACACACACAUGCACCACUUGCAGUUCCCUUUUCCUUUUCUCUGAAGAGCUAAAGAACCACGGACACAGACUAUUGUACUAGCUUAGCCAGAAUAAUUAAUUUAAACCUUCAAAAAAAAUUUUAAAAAGAAGGGAUAAUUAAGGUGAACCAUUGCUGUCAGGGACUUUUUCAAGGCAGCACGAGACCCUAUUUUGAUCCUUAAUCUCCGUAGUUAUUAUCUUGACUUAAUUCAUUAAUUAAUCCUGUUUCAAUCAUGUAAUUACUACUGAUACCAUCCAUUACAGUCAAAAUCAUCACAGCUCAUCCUCACAUCAUUAGUAAGAAAGCCCAGCACAUGAUCAUACCAAUAUUUAAUGUAAAGAAAAAGAAAAGACAUAAUUCUCAGUGAGUUGCAUAAACUUAUAAAAAAAAAAUAUUAAAAGAGAAAAGAAAAAGGAAUUCAUUUGGAAUUUUAGAUGGAUCUGUCCUCCUGUACUUUUGUUAGCUUCAAGUUAAGCUUCGCUUCCUCGUGCCAAGUCUAUCACUUCCAAAUACGGCGUCGUGCUGCUUACGCAUUUGGGUGGACUUGACGGCCGUCGACGAGAGUUUCAAACUUCGAAUCAAACGCAGUGCAGUCUUUCUCCACUAAACAAGGGUCAGUCAACAGUCAACGCCGUUACGACUCCCAACUUUCAAGGCUUGGAAACGGAAGCCGCGUCUUUGACGGAAGAGGGCUCUCCACCAGGUCCGCCACCACCGCUAACCAUCGUGGCUGACUGAACGGUCAACACCGACAUGCUAGGAGAUGAGGGCCCACCGGCUUCACCAACCCCGUUACCGCUAGCCCCACCUCCCAGCCCCAGAAGCGGGUUGUUAGCGCCAUUGCCGGUGAGACCGGGAUGCAUGGGAUUCCUGGAGUGACACGUGGCCGUAGAAAUGGCCGUAGCCAGAGAAAUAGGCAUGAGGCACAGCCCCUUACCCUGGAGAUACUGCAUGGCCGAUCCCAUGUCCUCUUCCAUUAGCUUAGCCACCUGGUGCUCCGUUACCGUCAUGCCAUCAUUAUUGUUGUUGUUCGAUGAUGACGCUGUUUGUGUUCCGUUACUGCUCCUUCCAUUCCCGCAGUCACCGCCUCCCUUUUAUAUUCAUCACAAACAACACACACACACACACCAAUGUACAAUCAAAUUAACCAAUUAUUAAACCACAUACUAUUAAAUUUCUUUUUUUUUUUAAAUAGAAAAUUUAGAUCAUUUUAGAAUUGCCAAUUUUUGGAAUGUAUAUGUAGAAGAAUGUGAGUACUAUAGUGAUUUAAUACAUAAGAAGAGAUAAAAUAAAAAAUGAUUUAAAAAAAAAUAUGUUGACGACGACAAAAAUGUGGUAAAAUUUUUUUUUUACUGGAAACCUACAAUCCAAAUGCAGCAGGCAGUCACUUGACUAUUAUUGAUUGCACGGAAACCAAAACCGGGGGUUGCUGAAUCAGCCAGCCGCCCAUGCCCAUGCCCAUGCGGGCAGGGGAGGGAGGUAGUGGUGGGGGAGGCAGUGGAAUGUGGAAAGCGAGCACGCGUGAUACACUUUUUGAUAAAUUGUCGUUUUCUAAGGAGGACAAGAAGCGUAUUUGAUUGAUUUUUUAAAAAAUGCAGGAGAAAAAGGUUAGAGGUGCGUGCGUGGUUGGUUUUGGAGAUGUCGACGAUUCCUGCUCCAACCUUUUUUCUGUUUUUGGAAAGAUUAAAAGGUUGGAGUGAGUUGGAGAGACAGUCAUCUUAUCUCAAUGCAAAAUAUUUUUUGUUUUAGCAGCUUAGCUCUAGGGAAAAGCAAGAAGCAUAGAGGUAAAUUAAUGCUGCCUAUUUUUGGUUUAAGUUGAAUUAGGUGCUUUUGGUAAAAGAAGAUUAGAUUGGCUAACGCAACAAUAAUGAAUUACUAAAAUUUGGUGAACGGAGACUUGUACAUUAGAUAGAUAGAUUAAUGUUCUGUGUGGAUUGUGUAUUUUUUAGAGUUUUAAUAGAAAAAUAUAUUGCAGUUAUUUAAUGCUAUAUGCAGGAUUUUUUUUUGGAAAAAAAAAAUGAUUAGAAAAUUGCAAUGCAAGAAAUAGAAUGUAGCAAGUACCUCAGAAGACAUAUCAGCAGCGAGGGGGGCAACAGCACCACCUAAUCUGCUCAUGCUCAGAACCUGCGUUACAUAUUGUAUAAUGACCACAGCUUAAACGGUUUGUUCAUCAUCAUCAUUAACCCCAAAAAAAAAAAUUGAAAAAAGAAAAGGUUUGGUUUUCAACUUUUCUAAUUAUCUUAAUCAAUCCCCAUUACUGUUGGUCACGGAAUUUCGCAAUAAACAACAACCAAAGAGAGGAAUUUUCUCGGACAACAAAAUAAGACGCCCCAUGUUCACCCCACCCCAUCUAAUUAAAACUAUAAUAAUAAUAACAGAAUUUGUCAACUAAAUAAAAGAAUCCCUCCCCACUUCUUCUUUUCUAAUAAAUAAAUACAGACAUCUACCCCUGCUACUCAUCUUCUAAUAGAAUACUACUAAAGUAAGGAGCGGAAAGGGGGGGAGAUUAGGAGUCAGUACUUUGACUUGGAGCUGGAGGAAUUUGACGUAGUCGAUGAUCUCGUCCAGCAUUGAAGCCUUGUCCGUCUGUCAUCCCCCCACCAAAUACAUCCAACAACAACAACACGGUAUCAGCCCCAUUUAAAAAUAGUAGCAGUGUGUGUUGUGAGCAGCAGUCAUACACUUAUCUCCAGUGUUAAAAAUAAGCACGAAAAAUGUUCGAUCCAUUAAAUCAAUCUGUGUGUACGAUGCGAUCAUAUGAUUCCAAUUUAAAUCACCUUUUUAUCUCUCGCAUAUAUUAAAUUACUACUACAGUAAUUUUUCUAUAAAAAAUUUAAAAAAAAAUACAAUCCAUACAAAGAAUAAAUUUUGUACAUGUGCUAGUAGUAAAAUAUUAUGCCCUGAUUUGUUCAUAAAAGAUUAUACCAGCAGUACUGAUAUAUAUAAUUAUACUGGCUAAAAGAUUCAAGAAAAAGGGAGGAAAGAAACCAGGAGUGCCGGUACAUCUGAGUCAGGGACUGUGCUUUUUUUUUUUAGGAGGAGUAGCUAUCAUCUGAUUAUGAAUGAUCCCUCUGUCACUCUAUCUGCUUUCCAGCUUUACAUUUUCAGGUACGCACGGAAAGAUAUAUACUGAACAAACUCCCCCCACUUUACCACAGUCUGUACUCCAGUGUACUCGCUCCCUUCAUGAUUAAAGUACAAAAUGUUGUCCUACCCCUACUAUUUUGCCCGCCCUAUGAUUUUCCUUGAACUUCAAUUCAAGAAACCCUCUUGCUUGUAAAUUCUUAUAUAUAUAUUUUUUAGAGCUUCAUGUUAUGGUACUAUCAUUGGAUUAAGCAGUUACACAAUUUGUGGAAGUUUAAUCAAUGAAAAAUUAAAAGUUAUCGCUAAUUCUUAGUAGUAUUAAUAGUCAACAAAAGAAAGAGACAGAGGGAGAAAGAUUAGACUGAAGCGAGUAGCUAGCGCGUACACCUUGUUUGCAUUGGGCACCAGUUCCUGCAGAGCCUUCAUUCUCUCUGCAAUUCUCUCUCUACGUAGCUGUCAUCACCCACAUUAUACAAACAAAUUCCAAAAACAGAAUCAGCAAAAUUCAGAAACUAGAAAACAAAUUGAAACAAGCGAAAAACAAGAAACAAAUUUUUGUACUGCUAGCCUAAUAACAGGACUGCAAAGUCACGGCUUCUAGUAUAACGUACUCUUUCAGCAAUGCUAUGUGGAUCCGUGGCUUGUCCUCUCCGGGCCCUCACCCUCUGCUGUCGUGGCUGCGCCGCCGCCGUCCCUCCUCCUCCGGCGGUUCCCAUUGAACCGCUUGCCGCGGCCUGGUUCAUUGCCUGGGCUCCAAAAUUUUGGGCUUGCAUCGCUCCGCCCUGUACAAAUUAAGCCAAAGACGCAAAUAAAACGAAAUCCCAUUUAUCAGUACAAGUUCCUUUUUAACAAACAAGGGGGAAAAAAGGUAGGGGAUGGUUUAGAUUUGAAAAUAAUCAGGAGAGAGACCUGAGGGUGGUGAAAAUGCUGAAGUUGAGUAGAGGGUUGAACAGUAAAUCCGUUGUAUAGAGCUUGAACUGAUGCAUCAUUUCCCUGUCAUUAAAUUCUCAGUUAAAACCCAUAUUUAAUACUACUACUAACAAAUUUUUAAUCAUAUAAACUGAAGAAUAAUUAAAUUAAUUAUAGACUCCUUAAUUACACUCUGCCAGAGAAAAACAAAAUGAACUCACGGGAUUAGCAGAUUUAAAGGGGGACCCGUCGACGAUGACUUCAUUCUGAUCGCCGUUACCGGCCAAAUUCAGCGGCGGCAUGGCCAAGAGGCCGCCGUUGGGGCCAGGAGGGGAUCUGAGGCCAUUUCCGGCGAGGCCCCGAGGGAGCAUUAACUGUUGAUGAAGCAUUAAAGCUUUGGCGCCGCCGAUCUGGUGCUGCCGGAGCUUAUUAGCCAACAAAACCGACUGGUCCUCGAGAGAACCCAGAGGGGUCUGGGACAAAGGGUCCCAGGGGGGCUGGGUUUUAAUAAGGUCAGGAGCAGGCCAGGAAGCGGUGGAGAUGGAAGAAAGCAUUUGUUCGAGGAAGUCGUCGUGGGACGACGUCGUCGAGUCGAAGUGGUGGUGGUGCUGUUGUUGUUGGCCGUUUUGGAGGUCGUGGAGUUGUUGGUUAAGGAGGGAAUUCAUGGCUUGCAUUUCUCUGCUACUGCUACUACCGGGUUGCAUUUUCUGUGAACGUAGGAGAAGUUCUUGAGCCUUAAAUUUCACGAAUAACGAGAGAACUUAAGCUAGCAAGUGAUUUGGUCUUCUUUCUUUUCUACUAUACGAUACGAUGAUUUUCGGCACUCGCGGGACGAGAGAGAGAGAGAGAGAGGACUUUAGUUGUCAACUGUGCUACGAGACUCGAAUAGAAGUCGAGAAAUAGUAGGAAGUGGCAAGUGAUGGAGGAAGAAAGGGCUGUUGUUACUGGUUUUUGAAGACGAGAAGAGGACUGUGAAGAAGAAGUUUUGUGUUUGGAAAUGGAAUGUUUCGAGUAGCCAUGUAUGUAGAUUUGUGGGAACUUCUUCGAGUGAAUAAAUAGUAGUGUGUUUAAGCAUUAUUAUUGCUUCUUCUGCUGUUUCUUUUUUCUUCAAAAAAAAAAAAAAAACUAGUAGUAUUUCCUUUUUAUCUUUUUUGUUUUUUGAGAUCUUUUGGUUGUAUUCUUAAGUAGGUUCUGUUCUACAGUUUGGGGAUUUUGUUUUGAUAUUGGAUGGAUUCACACUUGUAAGCUCUCCUGCCACUUACACAUCCAAAUCAGUGAAUCAUACGCGCUUUCGGUUUUUUGUAGUGUCGUUCUCUUUUGCAGAAUAUAUAUAUAUAUAUAUAUAUAUAUAUAUAUAUGUUUUUCAUCAUUAAUUGAAUGAACAAAUAAACUCUCAUACUUAGUACAUUUCAAAGUAUUCUGAAAAAUAUUUGCACUUUUCGAUUAAACUCGUAAUAAACUUUUGAUGUUUUUAUAGUUCAUGCAUUAUACUUUAAUUUUUUUUUAAAAUUAAAAUUUAAGGACAAUAAUUUAUCUCUCUAAUUAUACACAAAAUAAUAGCCACAUAUAACAUAAUUAUAUAAAUUUAUAUAUAAAGGUAAAGAGGCGAUAAAACUUUAAUAAAUUUAUACACGAGGUCAAGAGUUUAAAUCUGUAUAAAUAUACCAUAAGUUUUUUUUUUUUAAAUAUAUAUAUAUAUAGUAGUUUUAACCAUAUUUUUAAUUCCAUGAAUUUCAAAUAUAUUUUUACCAUUCACGUACGAAUUUAUAGGCGUAAUUUUGUUGAACAUGUUUUCUUGCUCCGAACUUUUAAUUAUACCGAAUUACAGAUAUAAAGAAUGGUAAGAGUUUAGACCGUACCGUUUGAUAAGGUACACUUUGUGAUGGGUUGUUCCCACUACUAAUAUUAUCACGACAUGAUUAUAGAUACUCAGUGCUACCAAAUUAUUGCAAUCAAGCUUCCUCUAUUUCCUUCUACAAAAAGCUCGAUCAAUAGUGCGCAGCAAAGUUUUUUUUUUUUUUUUUUUUUGGAUAAAACAUCAUAAUUUCAUUAAAAUUUACACUAAUGAUAGAAGUUAUACCAUCAAAUAUACACAGAUAUCAAAGAAUAAAUCUGAAAAAUGGAUGCUAUAGAUAUAAAAAAAAAACAGAUAAAAAUUAUACUGUAAAACUCCAAAAACAUAUUUUGUUCCAAUCCAAUCUUAAUUCAAGGGCUGAUUCGGAUAAUUGUCGGUUAAGUGAUUUGAUGAUGAAGGGCAAAAAUGAGAAUGACUUCCCUUAUUCAUUUUCUCAUCUUCGCCCUGUCCAGAAUGUCACCCUGAUUGCGAGGGGGUGGACAAAGAUUUGCUGAACCACAAGCGGAAAUUAGAAACUUGUUGGGCCGUGAUACGAAAGGCGCGGCUUUCCCAUAUUUUACUCUUAGUUAAUGGACCAUUAAGUCCUCCGAUGCACCCAAAAAAAAUUGCUCUCUUAAUGAAGGUUGUGUUCGGAUUGCAUUUUCUACGAUUUUUCAUGAAAAAAUUACUGUAGCGAUUUGAUGUAUACGAGAGAAAAAGGUAAUAGGAAAAUGUGAUCGUGGAAAACGAUGUAAUUUUCUGAUAAAAAACUGCAAUCCACACAAGAAUCAAUUCCAAUUUAAAUAGACAGCGGUAAACAUUGAAGGACCUUUGUCUUUUGUUACUUUUUAUAUUUUUCGGAAUGUAAAGAGAUAGUGAAGAAUAUCAAGGCCAUUCUUUCAAUUCUCUUAAAAGGUGAAAGAAAAAUAAGUAACGUAAUGUUGUGCACAUUGAUUUUAAAUGGGCUUAUAGGAUUGCAAGACUUUUAACCUAGAAUUAAGAGAAGGUAUGUUUAUGCAUCGAUGUAAUUUCACAACUACAUACAUAUAAGCAUACUUGCGUCUAUACUGCAUAUGCACCCAUAGUAGUAAAUUAGAUUAUCUUCGAAUGACCAAAAUCAUUUAUAUAUUUUUACGUUCAUGGUUCCCAAUUUUUUUUAAAAAAAACUUGGGUUCCCCGUGACAUCUUGCAACAACGUGAUGGCCUUAUUAAAUAGGCGUUGCUAUUUGUGAAUAAUACUUUCUCGUCUGGAUUGCUAUAUUUUAGAGUUUCUGUGAAUAAAUGUACUGUAAUAAGUAAUUUGAUAUAUGCGGAUCGAUUACAAAAAAUGAUUGGAAAAUGUAAUCGUCAAUAAUUUGAUAGAAAAAUGCAAUGCAAACACUUAUUCACGAUUAUAGUGAAGAAUGUAAAAUACACCAAUCACCAAAAGAUCUACGUGCAACUUGGAACAUUUUUUUUUUUUAAAGCAUCUUGCAUGAUGCUAUGUGUGAUUAAGCGUGAUUUGCUAGAACUACUAGUGAGGUGCAUGUACAUUGCAUCAUUUGAGAUCCAGUAGACAGACGAAUGAAUCGUAUUAAAUAAAUGAGCCAUGACUAAAAUCUUACCCUGUUGAUGUUACGACAACGAGUAAUUGAUUUAAAUUAAGAUUCAUAGAGAGAAUUAAAAAAAAUUCUCUUAAAAAUACAAUAAUGCUGCAGCAGCAGCAGCUAGCUGCUUAGCAGUUGAAUAUAUCUACAAUUAUUCUGAUAUUAUGGAUGCCUUCGGAAUAUAUCUACAAAUAAGUACAUGAAAAGUCAUUCAAGUCCUUUUUUUUUUUUUUUUAUCUUAUCGUUUCUUGAGAAAGAGAGAGACUUUACAAGCUUAUGAUCAAUAAAAAUCAGUAAAGCUAGACACUUGUGAAGACGAAGAAUUUGUAGGUAUACGUCCUUUUCCUGCACCUAUCACUGACUCUUUCAUUUACAUGUUAAGAUCCUUCUUUACAGCUCGCCACCACACAAACUAUUGAUAAAAAGAUGAGCUCCAUUGAGUUUCAUUACAAUUAUCAUAUCAACUGAAAAGGCAGGAAUCUUAAGCCAAGUGCACAUCUUGACAACGUAUGGAAAUAUUAGGGAAAAAAAUAUUAAUAACAAUUGAUAAGCUCGACAUUUCUUAGACAGCGAAACAUUUUAAUGUCUAGUUGGUAAGAUGUUUCUUCAUCUGUAACCGAGAGAUUACGGGUUCAGAGUCAUAAACUGCUAUUGAUCCUCUUAAUAAAAACGAAAAAACAAGUCCGAAAAAGCUUGUAUUUAUUUUUGAGAGAAAAAAAAAAAAGAAGAAGGAAGCGUGCUUGGGUUUUCCUUAAUGUUUCUAGAUUAUUUUCAAUUUUUUUUUUUUCCGUUUGACUAUGGAGUUAUCGAUCAGAAACAUCUAGCAGGCGGGUUUCUAAAUUCGUAAUUUUUGUGUUCCAUAGCCAUUAGGAAAGGACCAAAUCCAUUCGAAUUUUCAAAAUAGUCUCUUUAAAGAAUCACUUUUCUGUAUAUAUGUAUGUUAAUUAUUAAAAGCAAAAGCAAAAGAGAAAUGACUUGGAGAGAAUUUCUUGAGAACAAACAAACAAUGAUUGUUAAUUGAUGGAUGAUAUGCUCGUCCAUAUCACACAAAUCUUUCAUAAUCACGAAGGAUUAUCAACUGUCUCGAGAACUCUUUGAAUGACUAAACAUUCCAUCAUUGUUUUAAUAUGACGCACUAUAAGUAGAAUUGUACUUGGAAGAAGGCCAAAAAAAAAAACAAAAGAAGAAAAGAAUGAAAUAAUAGGAACAGGUAAUGAUAUUUAGAAAUCUUUCUAUUAAAAAAAACUAGAAAACGAAAACAUUACAUGGCUUCACAUAUUAGGCAUGAUUUCGUUUUCUAGUUUUUUUUUUUCUCUAAUGAUAAUUCACCUAAAACAGGAAUGAAAAAAAAAAGAAAGGAAAAAAAAACUUAAAACGAGAAUGACGGAGGAGGAAAAAGAAAAGGGUUUAUCCAUACUUGACAAAAAAAAAAAAAAAAACGAGCCAAUUGAUUAACUAGAAAAUGUAAGUUUAAUUAAAAAAAGAGAGAGAGAGAAAAAAAAAAAGGAAAUCAGCGAGCUUAUAUUCCUAUUGAAUAAAAAAGAAAAGUGAGAUGCUCUUUACAAAAGUAAAGAAUUAAUAAUGUAUUAAUGAUUGGAAGCAUCAAAUUCAAAUCAAGAAUUUGUAGUUACAUUAUUAUAAUAACCGGAAAAUACACUAUAAUUUGUGUAAAGGCGACCGUGCUUUUGGCUGUACAUAUAAUUGAAGAUCUGAUCAUUUAUUCUGGUCAACCCUUAUUGCCAAUAUUUAAUUAAUAGUUGUAAUUAAAGUGACAGGGGUGUAAGUAAAUUCUACUAAUAUUUAUAGCACAAAAGCAUAUAUUCUGUCGGCUACAGAUCCUAAUACCCAUCCCCUUUUUAUAAUAAUAAUAAUAAAAAUAAAAUACAUUCUUACAAUUUGUACUUGCAGUCUAACAGCAGUUUGUUAAUAUUCCAUUUUUGAAACUUUUGUAAGGAUUUUUCUAACGAGUAGCUCGAAAUAUUUAACGUUCCACUUAUUAAAAUAUCUAAAUUACACCUAAUUCAUCACGUGAACGUGAAUGUACGCACUCACAUUAUUUGUCUUCUGUAUUUAAAUGCUUUUUCAAAUUAGUUUCUCUUACUAAAAAAAAUUAACAGUUGGAACUAUUUAAAGCGAGUGUGUGUCUCCGAGGAUUUGUUAGCCUAUUAAGAAAAUUAUGGUUUAGAGUAACUAAUCUUGUUGGAUUAGCCGAUCGUAAUGGGAUUAAGUGCGGCCAUGUCAGUGAAGUGACACUCAUAUAUUUUGCUGUUUGCAUUACUUUAUUUUGAUUUCUUCUCUUUAAGUAUGAAAAUUGUGAGAUGGAGAGCUGAGUUUGUCUAAAUAAUAUAUUUGGAUUGAAAAUGUUUUUUUUUUUUCAAUAUGUGAUUUCAUCUUGCAUAUAUAUUAACUGAACUCCCAAGCAAGAUUAAAGACACAUAAUUUCUGAAUUAUCAUGAUUAAUCUUGGGAUGAUUCUCAUCCAAUGCUGUUUGCCAAUGAGGAGCGUAAAUGAGGAAUUUCAACAGAUACCUAAGAUCGAAAGAAUACAAGAGAAAAAGAUACGAAUACAUUACUGUGAUCAACGGAUGGCUAGUGUAGAGUAGAGACAUACAUUAGCAUACUCGUACGAAUAACAAAUGUAGACUUCCCUCAUAUGCCUCAAUUUUCAUCAUCAAAAUAGACAAUAGGAGGCUACUCCAUCAAACAACAUAUAUAUAUAUAUUCAGUGCAAAAACAGAAUAAUAGAGGUUAUUCUUCACCUUUGUCUCCGACGUUAGCUCCAGGAGAACUAUUCAAGAUUCUAAUUAAUUCUAUGUAGUUGCUGUGUUGUUGUUAACAACACACGGAAAUUAUUGGGUACUAAUUAGCUAUUGAAAUGAUUAGCCCAUUGUGUAGGAUGGGCAUGGCAAGUUAAUCACAGUGCUCUUGACCUUAACCAUCAUGUUAAUGCUGUUGGUGAUGCCUUGUGAUCCUAUUCCACUGUCCUUAAUUCCCUGCACAUUAAAAUCAUAUUGUUCUUAGAGAAGAUGUGGAGGAUAGACUUGAAGAAAUGAACAUUGUAUAGAUGGUUUCUUGAUGACGUGCAUGACUAGGUUAGGCUUGUAAGUUCACCUGGAAGGGAAAAUGAUCCGGUCCACGAGCUGGAGCGGAGUUAAUCUGGACGGUUCCCGUCUCCAUGGCAUCGCUGAUCAACAUAGCUUUGUUGAUAUCUUUGGUGAAGACACAACCCUGUUUUUUUGGUGAUACGGAUCAAGAUGUUCAGAAAAAGAAGCACAGAAAAAUCUUUUGAGGCUGAGAUAUUUAGAUGGUAAGCUAGAUGAGUUUAUACCUGUAGGCCAAAAUUGCUUGCAUUGCAAUGGUGAAUUCCUUCUUCAGCAGAGGUAAUCCUAAUCACUGGCAAAACUGGCCCAAAUGGCUCCUCCCAUGCUAUCCUCAUGUCUGGCCUAACAUGGUCUAGCAAAAGUGGCCAGAUGAGAUUGCCCUCUCUUUUGUAUUCCUGGCAAAAUGUUGCGCCCUUCUGCUUAGCAUCCAUAACUAACCCUUCAAUGAAGUUUGCCGAUGACUCUGAGACAACUGCAGUGAUAUCACAAUCAUCUUCGGGAGGUCCAACUUUUAGUUUUGCUACUUUGGCAUUUACUUUUGCAACAAGAUCAUCAGCCACAGAUUCCAUCACCAAAACAACCUUAACAGCUGUGCACCUUUGACCACUGUUAAAGUCCAACAAUCAGUUAGAAGUUCUGGCUGAUUACAAUAAAAACAACACGCGAUGCAGCGUAGAGCUCCAUCCAUUUCCUGAGGCAGCUAAAGGGUGUAAAAGGCAGUGCCUAAAUCUUGUCCACCAUUACCACCCUCUACAUUAUAUGGGAUAGAGGUUCUUCUACUUGUGAGGAGCAUGAGAUUGAUCCUAAAAUUCUGAAUAAGUUCCAAAACUUGGAUCUUUAGUAGUACGACCAAUCUAAACUAGCAAAGUCCAGUCAUGUGUCUACAUUAGAUCACUCAAAGACAUUGGCUGUAAUAACCUAUUUGUGGGGAAAAUUGAACUCUGAUAUCCAUCUCCACCAAGCAUUCAUUUUCCUAAUUUUAUGUUUCAAUUUCAAGUUAUGUUAGACAUUUAAUUGUUAUUUUAUUCAUCAACUCCCAACUUAUGAUGUCAGUGGAUGAAUAUUCUUUAGUGAGUGGGCCUAAUUUUUUCUGCAAUCAAGUGCUUUUCUAAUCCUUUUAGCCUUCAUGUUUUGACUAAUGCAACAGCAAUAAUGCCAUCUUCGUUUAUCCAAUUCAACCUGGCAUGUAUUCAUUCAUACGAGUCGCAAGCAUCUUUCCUUGCUUAAUUUCAAGAUGAAUGAUGAAGACAGCAAUUUAUGUGCAUGGCACACAGACCAAAAAUAGAGAAAUGGCGACUCGAACAAUUUCAGAGGUUGAAAUUUCAAUGUUGGUACCAAGUUUUAGAUUGAUAAAGCAAGUUUUCUAGAGCACCAUAAGCAAAAAAGAGAGAUGCUAAACCUGUAAGAAAAACCUCCUUUGACAAUAUUUGCUGCAACCAAAUCUAAAUCUGCAUCCUCAAGGACAAUACAAGCAUCUUUUCCUCCCAGCUCCAUUUGUAAGGGGAUCAUGCCUGCUUUCUUUGAGAUCGCAAUCCCAGUGUCACCGCCAGUAAAGCUACAGAAAGCACACAAUUUGUACUAUCAGCAUUACUGGAAAAAGUGGCUUAGGAAACCACCAAGGAUUAAGAAAUUUGGUUUACCUUAUACAGUUCACACCAGGAUGCAUGGUGAGGAAAUCACCAAUCUCAGAACCUUUCCCAGUGACACAGUUAAUAAGGCCCUUUGGAAAGCCAGCUAAGUGGAAACAAUGAACCAUAUGUAGGGCUGACACAGCACCCUGUAUCAAAGAAACAAGGCACUCUUUUAGGUAACCAAGUCCCUAUGCACAAGAAGUAUAUGCAUUGCACUUUUGGAGCACAUGUAGCCCAAAAAGUACGUGGAGAAAGAAUUAUUACUCGAAAAGAAACCAAUGAAAAGUCACAACCUAACAACUCCCAUCAAGCAUUCGAAUAGACCAAACUGUGAAUGCUUCUACUCCAUGGUUAUAUCGUUGGAGAAUACAUAACAACUAGCCAGCUUGCUUAAAUCCUACAUGCAGCAAUUAGUAAGUUGCAUGGAAGUACCUGAGUUGGAGGCUUGAGAACAAUAGAAUUCCCAGCAAUCAAGGCAGGUGCUAGUUUGGAGACGGCAAGGUUAACAGGAUAGUUAAAGGGGGGAAUGGCUAGGACAACACCGAGUGGGAUCUGUAUCACAAGAUUUGAUCAGUAUAAUAAAACCUCAGUAUCUUGUGAAACAAGCUUUCCUGAUUCUUUUGGCAAUGCUGGUCAGGCAAUUGUGAAAAGUAAGGCAUAGUAAUAAAGGAGCAAUUGAUGCUAAGUAUCUAAUGAGAGUUUUCCAUCACCAAUCAACUGAAUAUAAUUGAAGAAGGCCGCUGUUCUGAAGCUGCGCAUUAAAACACUCGAAUGCCGAUGACCAAGUAAAUUCAUCCAGAUUGGCAACUGAAAACAUGAUCUUGAACCUUUAAGGAAAUUCUCUAUUUGAUAUAGCUUCUUUUAUUUUCUAUGCUGGGACAUGAUUUCAGAUUAGGAAUACAUGUGAAGAUAGUUCAGUGGCAAUCAAGUUCACGGACAUCUUAAGUAGAAUUGCUGAUUCAAAAUGACAACGGAUUAGUAGAAGUCAUCUUAGAUGAGGCCAUUGCAAGUUGUGCAGGUUCCAGUCACUAAUUAGUAAGUCCAAACAAUCAACUAUCUUUGGCAUUAUUCUGCUUACAAUAGCAAAAUUAUGGCUAUUUAUUACUUCCCAACAUAUGACAAGCGACCUCUGCCAAAUUUUUGUGACACGAUUUUGAAACAAAGGUGGCAGCAUAGAAACUUUCAUUCCUCCGAAAAGAGAUCAUUUUAGUGAUUGAAUCCACGAAAAUUACGAUUCAUGCAAAAAAACCAAAUUUAAGAAGAUCAAAUUGCCAUAUAUAGUUCAUAAAGAUUAAGGAACUUCAGGUGUGUUAAUUCACAAUUUAUAUAUACACAUAGUACAAGAAAAAUGGAAUCACGAUCUGCAAUUUGUGACUGGAUUUUGCUACUUUGGUUGAGUAAAUAAACCAAGCGGUAAAGAGAAGAAAAUUUUAACUUUGUUAGUCCAAUAUUCGUGCAGUGCAUUGUGCAUCAAGUUUAGUAGAAAAUGAGAGCAAAAUGUACCUUGGAACUGAGGCAGUAUUUGGUCCUCUCAUUUCCAGGAAAACUAUCAGAGACCAAGUAUGUGCCCUGUCCCAAAAUCCUUACUCCUUCUUCAGCAGUGUAAGAAACCAGAUCUCCAGACCUCACAACCUUCAUCAAAUCCAAGUGACUAUUAUCAUUAUGUUUUGCUAACAAGAUCUUGAUUCUAUGUGCAAUGCACACUUGCUAGAGCAGCAAAUUUUCAAAAAGUACACAUAUCAGCUACCUCAGUGACAGCAUCUUUUGCUGGUUUUGCAAUCUCCUUUACUAGACAUUCUGCAAUUGGCGCUUUGUGCUCUUUGAGAAUAGCAGCGGCCUUGUGAAGCAGCUCUGCGCGCUUCCAAAGUGGAGUUUUGGCCCAUAACUUUUGUGCAGCCUUAGCUAUUUCCAUUACCUUGUUAACCUCUUCUUGUGUACAUGCUGGUUGAAAAUUUCAUAUAUCGAGAAUCAGAGGCCAAAUCUAGCCCCAAUCAAGGUUGCUCAAAUAAACUCGACAAUGACAGUAGCAAUAGUUCAUCUUACAUAUAACCAAAUUUCUUGGCAAUCCCCUACCGUUUCUUAGAGAAAUAAAAGCAAGAAGAUGUGGGUAAUAGUUAUGAUGUUGGAACUGGUCAGUUAAACAAGGUUCAGCAUUUCUGAAAAGGUGGAAGAGAAUUUCUUCAUAUCGAUUUAUCAAAAAUAACAAGAGUCCUUGUAUCCAACUGGAGUCAAAUUCGCUGGAUAAUGCCGAGAAAUUUCACAUAACAUGUAGUACUAAAACAAAGAAACCGUUUGACUUUUAAUUGUACAGUGAUCUCUUCAAGCAAGAGCUGCAAAAACCCUGUAAAAUUAUAGCUGGUGGGCCAAUUCUACAAUCAAAUAGUUCUACAGGCUACAGUACAAGUAGAAACCCAAAAGAAUCAAAGGCCAUCAUCAUCAAUUUCAAGUCAGACAUGCAUAACAAAAGUAAUACCUUGUACUUUGUACUGAGUUUUUCGCGUAGUUGGAUUAAUGAUGGAAACAGAUUUCCCAGAAGCAGACUUCUUCCACUCCCCUUCAAAGUAGUACUUGAACUCAUCUCCAUCAGUAAUCUCAGCAAAAACUCCACUCCCAGCCAUUGCUAAUUUAGACACUAAACUGCUUUUCCUCUCAAGACUGAUCAACCCUCUGAGGGAAAUAUUUAGCUUCAAAGCUCAGAGAAACAGAAUCAGGUUGUUUCUUCUGCUGCCCUGGGAGUAGCUACCUAACGAGUGAUGAUCACUGGUGUGUAUUUGGAGGUGGGGACCUAUAAAUAGAGGAAAAUGGUUAGCCACAUUUGGGCUUCAGGGAAUUCUGAGGCAUAGAUUUCUUGUUCUCUCGGAUUUUGACUUCAGCUUUUUGGACCAACUGGAUCGUGGCAGCUGUGGAGACAAAGAAAAAAAGAAAAAAGAAAAAGCCAAACCUUGGUUGAUGACUAAUCACUUUGAUAUUCAGCUCCGAGCCGUUGGAAAUUAAAUGUUAGUUGGCCACGUUUUUACUUGGUGUAUCCACCACAUGCAUUCAAAAUUUUUUUUUUUGGGUAAUAAUUUUGGGGAUUAAUUACUACCAUAAUGUUCUACACUUACUAGGUUGAUAUGAUAUAUUGCACAACACGACGUGCAGGUGUUUUCACUUCUUCCAUUGGAUUCUUUUUUGGUUCUUGUCUAUUUCUUUUUUUUCUUCUUCUUCUUCUAAAUUUAUGGUUCUUGUUUUGUUGAUUUUACUAGUGUUUUUUUGGUUUUGCUGGUUCAAUUAUGGUGUGAAUUAGAUAGAAUUGUGAAGGUGAAAUUACCAUCUGUCGGAAUUUGGACCAGACGACCAAAUUUUGAAACAAUCGAAUCUAAAUCAGUGGAAGUUGGCCAUAACUCUGUAACCAAGAAUUUGACAAAUACAGAUGAAAUAGUCUUGCUCUAGGUUCGAGGGAAUAACAAGUUGGAUGUUUCGGAGGAGCAAGUGUAAAUAAAAAAUUCGAAUUCAAGUUAUCUUGCUUACAUUUUAAAAAAUAAAAGUCUAGUUUUGGGUUUCAUCAAUUACAAGUUAAAUAUUUCAAUAGUAAAAAAAAAAAGGUGAACAAGCGUCAAUUUUUAGUAAAAAACCAAAAGAAUGUGUGUAACACCGUACAAACACAAUUCAAUGAAAGGGUAUCAUAAGCUUGAUAUCAAUUCCUAAUAUACAAAGUUUUGAGAUGUUUAAGUUGAAUUAGUUAAACAUUUUCUCUCAAAAUUAAGGAUGGAGCCAAAAGUUAAGCAUUUUUCUUCAUCCAAUUGGCUUGAUGAAAUGCAAUUAUUUUACAUCAUAGACCCUUCCAAGUUCCAAAAACCAGAGAAAAUCAGAAUAAUUAAGCAACAAAUUUUGGUGAAAAAGAUAGAAGAACCUUUUCUGGAGCUCGAGCAAAAAGUGAUGGUAGCAAGAACCCUUUUUUUUUUUUCUUCCUUAGCAUGAAUCAAGACAAAUUUUAAGAACUUUUCCAAAUGCCUUUUUUUUCCCCUUUUUUGAUAACUAUGGAUGUUCAUAAAUAUGUCAGCAGGAGCAGUCAACGGAAGUUGGAACCGUAUACAAUUCUUGUCCAGAUUAUGAAUAAAACUACAAGAGCAAUUCAAUCAAACAAACCCUAUCGGUUUCUGCAUGUUUCUAUAUCUUAUCUCCCUGCUACUGGGAAUGGGUAAUUCAACCAUGCUUCUCUUUUCUUUCUCUUUUUCUUUCCCAAGAAUAAAUGCUGUAACCAUUCUGUUUACGAAUAUUCUUUGUAUAUACUAGCGUGAUGGUUGAUCCUCCCCCAGUUUCCAUUGCAACGUUUUCAAUAUGUAACUUUCUUCUCAAAAGGAAGAGCUAGUAGAGAGUAGGGAGGCCAAAUGGACCAUUCUCUGCCAAAUCUGUCCUUCUCAUUUUGGAGCAUGAACUGAAGAAAAAGAACCCUCGAGGAGAUUUUCCCCUGUGGUCUUGGGUUUGGAAGGCCAAAGCAAAGUCCAAGAUUAAACAUUUUCUUUGGCUAGCUUGCCAAAGCAGACUGCCUUCUAAGCCAGUCCUCCUAGAGAGAAAUAUCACUGCUGACUCUUCUUGCCCUCGUUGCAACCAUCCCUGUGUAAGAUUCAGCACAUGUUCUUAGAUAUUGCUCCCAUGCCUGACCCUUUUGGCAAAGCCUCAGCAUUCCUACCUACAUUGGUUGGUCAAUUGAUCUGGAUUUUACAUUUUGGCUUAAAAAUGGUUGCUUGUCAAAACAUAUUUCUCCUUUUUAUGGAAUCCCCUGGGGUACUUUUAUUUCUGUUGCCUGCUGGAAUCUUUGGAUUGCCAGAAACAAGGCUAUUUUUGAACCCUCUAACCCCUUCUCCAUCCUGCACAAUACUCUAGUAAUGGUGGCUGCAUACUCCUUUCUAGGACCUAUUCAGAGCUUAGCACCCCUUAGAACUGAAGUGCUCAUUUUCUGGAUUCCCCCCAAACCUUCCUAUUUCAAAGUCAACACUGACGGUUCCUCCUUAGGGAAUUCGGUCCAGCGGGAUCAGGUGGCAUGAUCAGAAAUCACCUAGUCCACUGGGUAGCUGGCUUUAGCCGAAAAUUAGGCCAUGCUACUAAUGUCCUUGCCGAACUAUGGGGAACAAGGGAUGGGGAAUCCUUAGCUUCCUCUCUCAACUUGCAAAAUGUUGAACUAGAAGUUGAUGCUACAUCUGCUUUAGACUUGCUUAAAUCUGCUGAUAUCUCAACUCAUGAGCAUGCUUCAAUUAUCUCUGAUUCCCAAGUUUUUGAUCUCUGCUCUACCGAAAGUCACUCUUAGACAUGCUUACCGAGAAGCUAACAACUGUACAGACAAAUUGGCGAAACUGGAUUCUCAGCAAGAACGCAAAAUAGAACUUUCGUAUUCUAUGAAAGUGUCCCUCCCAAUUUAAGAAAACUAGAUGAAAAUAUUAAAGGAAUUUGCUUGCCUCGUUUUGUACCUAAUUCCUUUUCUUACCAAAAAUAAAAAAUUUUUUCUCCUAGCAUUGUCUCCACUUUCCAGUCAGAGGUAUGGAGCAGGUCAAUACCAAGCAACAGUACACUUUAUUACAGACUUUGAUUUGCAGAUUGAAAAUACUCCAUAAAUUCCAAGCUGCAGUUUCAAAUUUAAAAUAUCCAAGCUAUGUCCUCGGCACUAUUUUAAGAGUUUAGAGAAAUUAGUGCCUAUGUCUGAAGUGUCUUACUAGUUUUAAAUCAAUUGAGGAACACUUACAUUGUACCACUUGCAUCUUAAUUAACCAAUUAUUCUUGUUCAAAGCUAGAAUACUUAUCUUGACUACACAUGGUGAUGACUUAUGAUACAUAAAAUAAUAUGGUUCAAUGCUUAUAGUAAACAUCAAUCAUUUGAGCUUGUGACAAUAUAAUUGGAUGGUCUGCGAAUUUAGAGUUUCAAAAUGGAAAAAAAAAAAAAAAAAGUUAUGAAGAACGGGCCAAGAGUUAUGAAAGAAGUGGCUUCAUGAUGGAGUAGCUGGAGGAUAAUUUGUGGCUUUGGCUAAGAGUCGGUGGGCUUCCCAACUCUUUGGGUGUGGUAGAGAUCGCCUUCUCUUUUAUCCUCUUCAGAACCACAAGUAUUGGUAGGAGUGGUGAUGAUCCGCCAAACCGUGCAAUCAUUUAGAAGCCCGUGUUUUACCAAAAGAUACAACAAACUGAUAUUCUUGUUUCUUUUUUUUUUAGCAACGAUACAUUUGUAUAACCUACUGUAUCUUAAAUCUAGGAAGAGGGGGAGGGGGAGCCUAAGGAAGCUGUGGUAGGGAACUAGUGGGUAUACAGACCCAAUUAGACCAAAGGAGUGCUCUGGCACAACUCUUAGAUUUUUUUCGCUACAGGUGAGAUUUUGAACCCUCACCUACAGCCCAAGGUUUGAUAUUCUUGUUUCAAACCACUUCGAUAUUUCCAAACCAAUUUACCACAAUCAAUUUCUGUUUUCACAACACUAGUAUUUUGGAGAUUGAAAAUGCCUUAGGAACUAAAUAACAUGACAAUAUAUAUAUAUAUAUAUAUUUUUUUCUUGUUACAACAAUUACUUUCUAACCUAUUUCUACACUGUGAGAAAAGGGGAAGGACUCAAUGGUUUGACAGGGGAGCAAAGAGGGGAGGAAGGCACCUUCAAUCCAAACUAAAGCAUUAAUUAGUGCACUAGUCAAGACAAAUUCCAAGAAAAUCCUAAGAAUAAUGCAGGCUACCUCAGAGGGACUCGAGUCCUUCGCGAUGGUCAGUAGAUCAAGGUCUCGGAAGACAAAAUGGACAGUACCCCUUAAAGAGCAGUGUUUAGUAUUAUUUAAUACCUAGAUUACCAAUAUGUGAAUUUUUUUGAAAAGGUUAUAUAUAAAUGUACAUCAAUUUUCAAUUUAAUUUCUCAAAAAAAAAAAAAAGUAAAAGUUCGACUAUAUAGAGUAGGAAUUCAUUCAGGAUAAAAGAUUACCUGACCAAAGCCCAUUAAAGCUUCAUCAAUCAUCAGUAAAUGCUUCACCGGAUUAAAUAGCACUGGACAUCAACUAAUAAUAAUAAAUGUUCCUUAGGCAAAUCCGUUAAAUUGUAGAUUUGUUAUUUCCAGUGCACGUUUAAUUUACCAUUAACAUAAUGACAUAAAUCAAAUUGUGCUGGAUGAUUUCUAAUUGUCCCUAAUAAAAUUUGCUUUUAUAAAAUGGAAAAGUCCUCUGGGGACAGCCAAAAAAUUACAUUUAUAGAGAAGAUUAGUUUAGUCCCUAUGCAAUUAUGACAGAAGAGAAAUAGUUUUACAAAAAUACCCAUUUCUCACGGGUGAUGUUACAAAAAUACCCAUUUCUGACUCCUCAUAAAAAUGGUACACUGCACAACUUGGCUUCCAUAGGGAUCUAUAAAGUGUAAUUACUUUUAAUUAAUUUAAAUGGGUUCUCUGUAUAAUUUUUUUUAUUUUUUAUCGGACUUUUUUUUCCCGAGUUUCUCAUCUAAGUUGAUGUGAUUAAAAUUAAAAAGAACAAAUUUUGUUUGAAUACUUGUUAAAAGAUUGAAGAUGUAAAGUGAAUUACUUUACCUCGCCCAUUAGCCCCCAAAUACCGUGUCAAUUUUGGAAAAUUGAAAUAGGUAACUUGAUUAUAAUCUUCAGAAAACCUAUCGGAAUUUGAUUAAUAUGUAUCAACUUCAUAAUUUUGUCCUGUACAUAAUAAGUCUACCUAUCUCGAUUGAAGAUUAUUUAGAGAGAAAAUUUUCUCUUUGAUGCAAGCAAGCGAUUAACAAAAAGAAAAAAAAAGUGAUUGAAAAUAAUUUUUUUUUUUAAAAAAAGUAAUAAGGAUGGGUGUUUUAAAAAUCUUAAAAGAAAAAUGCCAAAUAAUUGCUAUCCAAACAAACUCAAUAAUGUUAGAAAGUUUUCUAACGUUUUGAUUAAUCAAUAUGUGAAUUUCUUGACUACAUUCUCUACAUUAUUAAUAAGUGGAAAUUAAUUUCCAUCUACUUUCUCCAAAAUCUUUUUGACUACAAAUGUAAAAGAGUUACAAGUUCAUGAAAAUCACGGAUGUAACAAAGCCCAAAGUGGCGUCCCUUGGGAUGUAACUAAGGCCCAAAAGUGUCCCACAUCGACUAAAUAGCAGCUCCUUUAACUCUUUAAAUACACCAGCUCCGAAGGGAGCGAACGUCCCUUCGGGGACAUCCGAUAAAAUUGGAACGAUACAGAGAAGAUUAGCAUGGCCCCUGCGCAAGGAUGACACGCACAAAUCGAGAAAUGGUCCAAAUUUUUUUUUACUAUACUGCCCAUACUCCUCACGUGUCUUUUUACCGAAACACCCCCUCACUUGACGAUUCAAGGUCGGUGCACCAGGUCUCAAGUCCACCCGUAAUACAAGAUAGCCCCCUCCCCAAAUAUAAUAUAUAUCCUUGUAGUCGGAGAGUUUGGUGUUUAUUUCACGGGUGGCGGGCCGCUGAAAUUCAUCCGGAGAGUUUCUUCGCAGGUACACUUUCUGUUUUCCAGCUCCGAUCAAUUUCUUGAAUAUUUUUGUGGUAAUACAAGCGAAUUCUGAUUUAUUUUUUGAAAAAAUGAUCACCAAAACUCAAAAAUUUCAAGUCUUUAUUCAAUCCCCUGAACUACAAAUCCCAACCCAAGCUCUAAAUGUCGAAAACCCUAACCCUAAUUUCACUUUACAAGAUCUCAAAUCCUCUCUCUUCGCCAAAGCCCAUCAAAAUCUUAGCUCCCUUUACUUCACCUUGAAUGGUAAACCCCUCUCUGAUUCGACUAAGUUACCGAAUUCCCAAAUUGCUCCUCUUUCCACAUUAACACUUCGGUGCCGCCUUCUCGGUGGCGGUGGAGAUGGCGGCGCCACUGGGGCGGAAUCCCGGGAUUGUUACCUUAACAUGUAUGCUACUAAAAAGCCCGAUAAAGUUGACCCGAAUGAGACGAGGCUGUCGAAAUGGCUGAAUUGUGCGAUUUCCAAUGAGCCGUUGAAGCGGCCGGUUGUGAUCGAUAAGCUUGGGAAUUUGUUCAAUAAGGAGGCGUUAGUUGGGGCGUUGUUGAUGAAAAAGGUACCUAAGGAGUUUUGGUAUAUAAAAGGUUUGAAGGAUAUGAUCGCUGUCGAGUUGGAUGUGAUUCCUGGGUUGGAGGAUGAGAGAGGGAGUCGGACCGGGGCAAAGUUUCAGUGCCCUAUAACGGGGUUGGAGUUCAAUGGGAAGUAUAAGUUUUUCGCGUUGAGGUCAUGUGGACAUGUGCUGAGUGCGAAGGCAUUGAAGGAGGUUAAGUCGUCAGCAUGUUUGGUGUGUCAUAAAGAGUUCUCUGAAAGUGAUAAGAUGCCGAUCAAUGGGAAUGAAGAGGAAGUGACGGUUUUGAGAGAAAGAAUGGAAGCAGAAAGGGUUAAUAUAAAGGAUAAGAAGGUAAAGAAGGUGAAGACUGGGGGUUUGGUGGCUAAUGGUGCUGAGGAUGGGUCAGUGGGAUUGCCAAGGUUGAGUGGGACAAAACGUGGAAUUGAUACUAAGGUACCUGACAAGGCUUCAGCCAAAGUGGAAGGAAAUUCCAAGCUCGUGUCGACUGGCAAAGUUGAGACGAAUGGAACAGCUAAGAGAUUCAAGGCUGUUGAUGCUGCCCCAGCUAAUGCCACGAAGGAAGUAUAUGCAUCUAUUUUUACUUCAUCAAGAAAGUCUGACUUCAAAGAGACGUUUACAUGCAGGUCACUGCCACUUGGGAGAAAUUAAUUGAGGUGGGAUUGUUAAGGUGAUCUUGUAGUGUUGUUUAGUUGCAUUGUAACCUGGGACUAUAUAUUGAUGAAGAAAAUGAAUUGUUUCCUCUGGUUAUUAGCUGCUGUGAUUUGCUAUACGGAAGCUUUCUGUUGAUGUAUCAUAUUAGCAGUGAUUGUACUGUGAGUAAUUACAUUGAUGACUUGCUUCCCUGAUUUAUGGAGUUAGAUCUGUUUCUUGUGGUAAUAUAUGUUUUCAUGAGAUGUCUCAAGUGCUUCCUUAUUUUCACAUUGUAACAAUGAUCCCAGCAGAUCAUUACGCUUUUCAACUUAGUUGAUGAAUAUAUACCUGAAAGAUUCUUUACUUCUAUACUGAUAAGAUUAAAAAUAAAAACUUGCAAACAUAAAUAAAAGGAAAAAAAUGGUAACUGUGAAGAACGAAGACUUCUCAAUAUCUUGUAGCGACUGUGAUCUGAAGUCAUUUUCAGUCUGUAGUCAUGUGUUGUAGUUGGCAGCUGCCUGCAAGAUAUGAGAUAGGCAUUUAUAUCUGGCUAGCUCAUUGUAGCAUACUGAAUCAUUUUCUGAUAUGCUUACAUUUGAUGAAUUAUUGUGUUGAAGUUUUGUUAACAAUGAAUUGUGGAAGUCAAAUUUUUUUCUCCAUAAAUUCAUUCUAUAAGUUUUAUAGAUUCUCCUAGCGCUUAAUAAUGCCAUUUACAGGAAGUCAAAAUUGUACAUGCUGCCCAUCAUGAUAGUGGAAUUAGAUAUAAACAUGUAAUGAAUGUUCCAAGGCGUGGUGACCAAGUGGUGGAAAUUUGGAGGGUGUCAUGGGUAUUUAGUAGAGCUGUUUUUCCCUUCUCUGAGUUGUACGUUUACUUGCUUUUUUCCUUGCAAAAGUUAGACAUUACCUUAAUUUUUUGAAUCAUGUGAUAUAUUGCUCAGCAAAUGAUUAUUAAUCAAGAUAAAAGAGGAAGUUUAUGGCCGACUGGGCAGAAUUAUUGGUUAGAACAUGAGACGUAAUCUCUAUUUUUCUUUGUUCUGGGUUGUGAGCUUAACAUCCCAUGCUAGCUUCUCGUGAGGCUAUUAGCCAACUAGUACUGCAGAACAGGAGUUUUGCCAAGUUAACUUUAGAAGAUAAACAACUUGGUGUUUUGCUUUCCAAAAUGGCUUGUUAAUCUUGUUCCCCUUUUCACAGUCUCUGAGCUUCAAUUCAAAGGGUAACUGCUUUGAAGCUCACUGUUCGUUGUAGUAGAUUUAGGUUCGCCGUAUGCAGAAGGCAAGUAUGUAUUGCAUGUGCAGAAGCAUUUUGGCAGUUCUGGUCUCUGCUGCUGGAUUGCCGCUGCCAUCAGCGCAUUAUUCAUCGCUAUAGUUGCCAUCCAUCAGUGGCAUUUGUCCCACCGCUACCAUCAUUAUAUUAAGCUACUCGUGCCCGACUUUUUUUAAAUUAAUCUCUUCAUUUGCUUGAUUUGAAAAGUUUUGAAUAUAACGUGUCAUGUAAGUGGUGAAUUUCAACUUUCAGACCACAAUUGAAAUAAUUGAGGCUACAGAAUGCAAAAGAAAAAGAUUGAGUUCCUUUUUAAUCUCUCUAUGUAGACUCUUAUGUUAUGUAGACUCUUAUGUUUGUAUCCCAGAAUAUGGUAAAUCUUUCCUUUUACUCCAAUCAAAUGGUGGCUUUUGCUAACUUUUUUUUUUUUUUUGGGCCUUUUAAUGGUCUAUGUUUUUUUUUAUUCAUUAGUCAUCUAAAGAUCAAUGGUUCUUGAAUGAAGAGAUGGCGUGAAAAAAAAAAGGGGAAUAAGCUGGGAGAAGGAGAAAGAAGGAAGGAAAGAAGACAAAGGAAAAUCAAAAUUAAGAUUACGAAGGAGAUUUAUUAUAAUUAAGCCUCACUUAAAAUAUUAGAAUCCCAUCUCAACUAGUUGGAAGAAAGAAUGUCAGACAAAAAUUACCUGUCUCACAGGAAUGAGCUUUUUAUCUACCAUUCUGCUGAAACAAAUUAAUCCGUUUGGAUUAGCUGUUUUUUAGGGAUAUUUUUAAAAUAUUUUAUUGUAACAAUGUAGUUGAAAAACUUUUACUGUAGAUGAGAUUAUUUCUUAGGCUAUUUUUUGUAUUUAUUGUAUUUUUUAAGGUUUUUUUUUAUAUUUUUUGUAUUUUUGAAGUUGUCUUUGGUAUUUUUUAAGUUAUUUUUGUUUGUGUAUUAAUGUAGCAUUGUAAAUUGCAAUUGAAAAACUUGUUUUUCAAAAAAUAACCAAUCCAAAUGGAUUGAAGAAUUAACUGAAGCUUGGUGUGUAAUCUACAAGAGUUGAUAUUUACCGCAAGUUUAGACUUGGCAUUUGAAAAAUAAUAAAAUUAAAUCCCUCUCGAAGUGGAUCUUCGUAGAUAUCCUGGCUUGUUAUUCAAAGAAGUAAAAGGUUUCUACUGAAUUUCUACUUUCCGUUUGUACUCAGAGCAGCCAAAGUACCGUGGAACCUGAAAGGAUCUCUUUUGAUUCGUAAAGCACUAUAGGGUGGGGAAAAAAAUGACAUGGGAGGGUCGUUGCUCUCGUUGAGAGUCGAACUCAAGACCUCCCGCUUACUAAACGAGUGCUCUAACCAACUGAGCUACGAGAGCUUGUUGCAGGUGCCUUCGCGUUCUUAUAAUGGUAGUAGAAUACAAGAAAUUCGUAUAUCCAACCAAAUAAUGAUCAAUUAAGUAAAAGAUAAAUUUUCAUUUUUACAACAAGUGAAUCUUUUAUUUUAAUAAAUAAUUGAACUCUUUUAAUUUAUACUUCAAACUAGGGUCAAUACUAAAAUUCAAACUUCAACUAAAUAAAUUAUCUUCUCUAAAAAUUGGACACCAAGCAUGUUCAUGCCAGCAUAUGAGCACUAGUACAAAUUACUCAGUACUAUAUCAGAUGGACAUUUAAAAUUCUAAAUGGACAAGAUGUAAUAUUUUUUAAAAAAAAAUAAAAAAUAAAAACUUGGUUACUUUGCUUAUGAAUUCAUUGCUUUUCUUUUUUCUUUUAAGUACUUUUUAUGUAUCUUAAAUUCUGUGAUGGUAGACAUACUUGACAAAGACUAAAAGCUCAUAGCAGUUAAAAAUUUGAAGUCCUUAGCACUGAAAUUCAUAUUACAUCAAUUCAUAUGUUCUCAUUAAACUGCAGUUAGAUAAACAUUUUCUUUGUUUUAAAUUUAAUCAUAACAUUUCCUUAGAUAUAGAUAGUUCGAACCAUGAUAUUAUAAAGCAGAAAAAAAAUUUACUUUGUUUUUUAAUCAUGCUAAUUAGUGGUUGUUUCUACUGGUUAUCCUCGCUAUCCAUUAAAUCAUUUCUUUUCUUUGUCUUGCGUCAUAAAGACAAAUGCAGAUAAGGGAUUUGGCAUUAUAUUUUUAAAACUUUUGUCUCGUCUUGAAAUUUUUCUUCAUGAGAAACAUUCUGAUUCCUGAAGUUGUGAUUGAGCCAGUUUUUAAACUCUGGCAAUCUAAAUUGAAGAUUACACUUCGAUGUCCAAUUACGCAAUUAUUCAUGGGAUUAGCAGUUAAUUCGUAAAAUUAAAUGUUUUGCAAGUGCAUGGCCAAAAUAGCCUUUAUGUAUUUCUUUAGCUAAUUAACUCCUCCGAAUCUUAGGACCAUGAAAAGCUAGGGUUAAUUGCACUUGACCCUCGUCAAUAUUACCCAAGUUGCACGUUAUCCUCUUGAAUUUUUUUAGGGACUUAAACUAUUUCUACAAACUCAAUUAUUUUUUCUUUUCUUUCCUAUUCGUUUUUUUCAAAAUUUUCAUCUCUUCCCUCUUAUUUUUCUUUUUCCUUUCAUUCUUUUUCAGCAUUACAAUAUUAUAUUUAGUGCACUCAUUGUUAAAAUUUGUAUAGCAUAUUUUAAUAAAAAAUUUAUAGAGUUUUAGUUACUUAGAUGCACUAAUUGUGAUUUUUUUUAAUAAAUAGUGCAUUUAAAAAUUCUAUUUUGAAAAUAAAAAGCUACCACCAACUUUAUCAUUUUAGCUUGUUUAACUUUAUACUUUUAGAUAUAGUUAAUUUCCAAUUUUAAUAAUCCAUAAGAAGCUUUAUCAUAAGCCCAUUUGAUCUAAGAAAUUAAAUUAUUCAAACACAUAUAAACAAAGUGGAACUCUUAAUUAACAAAUUUUUUAAAAAAUAUAAAAAAUAAAUAAUUCAACUAUAUUCUUCUUCUUUUAAAGGAGUUAAUAGUAAUAAUUUGUUAACACAUAUUUCCUACUUGCUCUACUACUCUAGUAUGUUUAUUAUUACUAACUAAGUAACUAUGAACUCUAAUUAGUUUAUAUGUCCUUAAAGUAUUGAAUCGUAUAGUAUAUAUGCUGUGCAAUUUAACACGCAUAUAUUUUGUUAUUGUAUAGAGUUGAUGAUGAAUUUAUUAAAAGUGAAAUGUAACAAAUAAACAAAUGGGAGUGGGGGAGGGAUGAGUUUGGUGGUAUGUGGGGGGUAAGUGUAAGUGAGAGGUUUCGGGUUCGAGACCUUCCACUUACAUAAAAAAACUAUAAUCGGAGAAAAUGUUUUAAAAGAAAAUUAAAAUAUUUAGCAUAAAUAUUUUAUUAACAGAUAGACAAAAGUGCCUAAUAGUGUUAGAGAGCAAGGAAAUAGAAAAAAUUUAAAAAAGGAAAAGGAAAAGUGAAAAACAAAAAAAAAAGUAAAAAUAAAAAUAAUUAAGAUGGCAGGGAUGAUUUUGUCCAAAUACAUCAUGAGAGGGUUAAGCGCCUACAAAGCAAGUUGAAAAAAUAGAGUGCAACUGGAAUAAUAGUUGGAGAGGGUUUAGUACAAUUAUCAUAAAAAAAUUGGAUUAUUUGUAUUAACCUCCAAUGAGGUUUCGUCAAAUUAUAGAUUAGGCCCUACUGUUUGAUGAUAUUGCGAAAAGCUCCUCUAUCCUGAGAGAUGUGUAACAUAUACGCCAAACGUUGACUACCAUAUUCUAAUGACAUCAGCAAGAUUAUUCUCCCAAAAGUCCCGAAAUACCCCACACGUUGGACUUUCUCUUUUUUCCCUAGUAAUGCUCAACAGCCAAACAAUUCCAGUAUCGCUAUAAAAAAACUUAGGUGUAUCACUAAAGUAAAUCAUUACUCCGACCAUAUUUAUAACCUCAAAAGUAUUGAAGUGUAGGAAAAUUAAUAAUAUCAAAUCUAGUCAGCUAAACAUUCUCAGUAGUCAUUGGCUCCGUUUGGAUUAGCUGUUUUUUGGGUUGUUUUUCAAAAACACCACUGUAGCAUUUCGAAUCUGAAAAACAAGUCCGUUUGGAUUAGUUGUUUUUGGGGUUGUUUUUCAAAAACUAUAUGAAAAACUUUUACUGUAGAUUUUUUUGGAUUAUUUUUAGAGGUAUUUUUGAAACAUAUUUUUGAGUAUUUUUAGAAUAUUAUAAUUUUUAUAUUUUUAUAUAAAUAUACAUUUAUGCAUUUAUAAUACAUUUAUAUUUACAAAUGUAUAAAUGUAUAUUAUUAUAAAUUAUAAAUUAUAAAUGUAUAAAUGUAUAAAUUAUAAUUUUUAUAUAAAUAUACAUUUAUGCAUUUAUAAUACAUUUAUAAAUAAAUAUAUUUAUAUAUUCAUAUAAAAAUAUAUAAAUGUAUUAUAUUCUAUAUAAUACAUAAUAUAAAUAUAUUUAUAAAUGUAUAAGUGUAUAUUAUUAUAAAUGUAUAAAUUAUAAAUAUAUUAUAAAUUAUAAGUGUAUAUUAUUAUAAAUUAAUAAAUUAAUAUAUUAUAAAUAUAUAUUAAUAUUAUGUAGAAAUGUAUUUAUAUAAUUAAUAUAAAUGUAUAUAUGCAUUAAUAUUAUGUAUAAAUGUAAAAUUAAUAUUAUGUAUAUUAAUAUAAAUGUAUAAAUGUAUUAUAUUAUAUAUAAUACAUAAUAUAAAUAUAUAUUUAAAUGUAUAAGUGUAUGUUAUUAAAAAUGUAUAAAUUAUAAAUGAAUAUUAUAUAAAUUUAUAAAUUAAUAUAUUAUAAAUAUGUUUUAAUAUUAUGUUUAAAUGUAUUAAUAUAAUUAAUAUAAAUGUAUACAUGUAUUAAUAUUAUGUAUAAAUGUAAAAUUAAUAUUAUGUAUAUUAAUAUAAAUGUAUAAAUGUAUUAUAUUAUAUAUAAUAUAUAAUAUAAAUGUAUAUUAUAAAUAUACAUAAAUAUUUAUAUAUUAUGUAUAAAUGUACAUUUAUAUAAAUGUAUAAUAUAUUAUAUAUUAUAUUAUAUAUAAUUUAUAUAACAUAUAAUAUUUAUGUAAAUAUAUUAUAAAUAUAUAAAAAUAUAUUUUAAAUAAAAUAAAAUAUUUAUAAUAUGUAUGUAUAAAUAUAUAAUAUUAGAAAUGUAUAAUAUAUAUAAUAUACAUUAAUAUUAAUAUAAUUUAUAUAUAAUAUACAUAAUUGAAAUAUACAUAUUAAUAUAUAUUAUAAAACAAAAUUGCAUAAAUAUAUUUAUAAAUUUAUAUAUAAAUAAAUGUAUUUAUAUAAAUAUAUAAUAUUUAUUUCAAUUGACAUAAUAUAUAUAAUAUUAUACAUAAUUGAAAUAAAUAUAUUUAUAUUAAUAUAAUAUAUAUAUAUAUAAUAUACAUAAUUGAAUAUACAUAUUAAAAUACAUAAUUGAAAUAUACAUAUUAAAAUAUAUAAUUAAAAUAUAUUAAAAUAUAAUUGAAAUAUACAUAUAAAAUACAUAAUUAAAAUAUACAAAUUGAAAUAUACUUAUUAAAAUAUACAAAUUAAAUAUGCAUAAUUGAAAUAUAUUUGGAGUUGUUUUUGAUAUAUUGUUUGGAUUGGUGUUUUUGAAGUUGUUUUUGAAAUACACAUUUACUGUAGCAUUUGAAAUGUGAAAAAUAGUUUUUCAAAAACACCAAUCCAAACGUACCCUAUAUCUUUUUAUUCUUGAAAGUAUAAAUACGAACUUAUUUCUUCUCGCCUCAAGAUCUUCUUAAUCUUUUUUGAUUGCUUAUUCGCAGUUCUUCUAUAUUUUCCUCAAAUUCUCACAAUGAAAAGUCGUUACACGGACAAAAUUGAACAAUGAGUUAUGCUUGAACAAAUAGACAUGGGGUUCUUAGACAUCAAUUGCAUUGCCAAUAAGAUGAUAUAAAUAAAAGUUUGUUGUGUUUUACAUUGUAAAGGGUGAUGGUGGGGCGGUUUAGAGUGGAAAAGUAAUGGCCCAAAGGCAAUCCAUUGAGGUUUAGGCAAAGGAAUUAAGGCAUUUUUGAUAAAUAAUUCUUAAAUGAGAGGGAAGAACAAAGAGAUUUAAGGCUUGGAGCAGAUAGAGGAUUAGGGAGAAUUGCUGAGGAGAGAGUUUGGAAGAGAGAAAACGAACUACAACAAGAUUGAGAGGGGUUACCAAUAGUGGCGAGUGCUUUUAUUCCAAAUUUUGCUUCUUUUCUUUUGCUAAUUUUUGGAGAUUUUGGCAAAAAUAGUCUUUUUCUAGAUUUCCACCUUUUUAUUCCCUUAUUUGGAUCUCUUGUUAGUUUUGUGAUGAUUGUGGACGAUUUUCCUCAGUAUAUUAUUUAUGCUUCUAAACUUUUUUUAUUUUAAUAUUGUGAUCUUUAACAGGAAAAAUUGAGCUUUUCGUACAAAGGGUACUUCUAUAAUUUCAUUGGUUCCGUUUGUUGGGCUCAGGCGUUGUUAGUGAUAGGGGGCUGACAGUCAUAUAACUAAACCACAAGGCUUGAUUUGUAUUAUGGACAAAUCUCAAGGAAGGCAGAUAUAAUUAACCCAGAAAAACUAGGUCAAAUAGUUGUCAAUGUCAUUUGAACCAAUUAAUUGACUUCACAAAACCAGGAAAAGCGAAGAAGAAAAUUGCUCACAUCAAAAUGCAUGAUGCCAUUAAGAUCAAAUUACAUUUUUCAAAGCAAAACGACUUACAUUAGAAUUCUUAGACUAUGAGGUUAAUACUACUAUAUGCUGAGUAGUAUUAAAAUGACUAGCGUUCACUUUCAUGUGUGACUAUCUUUUUGAAUAAAGUUCCAAAAUUACCUAAGACCUCGGCAAUUGCAUUAAAGGCUCUUGAUAAUGCACAGGAUGUACUAUAAAAUUCCUUCUAGAUUUGACGAGGAUAAACUUAAGAGAACCUUUACCUCCAUUCUAGCAAUUCCAUAUAUUGGAUCACUAUGUAAUAAAUAACUCAUGAAUCAGUAGUAGUGAGAGGUGUUGAAAUACAAGUGAUAAGUGGGAGGUCUCAAACUUGAGAGGCAUUUGGUUCGAGAUCUCCUAUUUCUACUUACAUUUUGACACGUUUUAUGUAUAUUCUUUUUUCUUGAUACCACCAACUCAUCCUUUCUCCCUUCAAAAUUAUUAUAUUGGAAGGUGAGUUUUUUGGAUGUUUGUCUAAAACUUUAUUGUAGAUUACUGUAAAAGUUUUUUAAAAAUUUUUUUGAAAUGUGUUUUUUUAUAAAAUAUUUUGAAGUGUAUAGUUUAAAAAUUUUGAAAAUUUUUUUGAAAUUACUAUAGUUAAAGUUUUUUAAAAACUUGUAGCACACAAACUUGGCAAAAAACUUGGCUUCCAAACAAUAUGCUAUUGUUAUCUUAGAGAAGCGAAAUGAUAUGAUUGAAAAUUUUAGAAACUUCUUACCAAAAAAAAAAAAAAAAAAAAAUUUUAGAAACUGAUACGAAACCAAAAGGUUUGAUGGUGUAAAACGCAAAUAAGAUGCUCUGUUUCUAGAAGCGCCUGAUCUGCAUCUCUAUAUAUACCCGACUUCACUGUCAAGCCCCCACUUUCCUGCCCCCGCUUUCCUGUUCACCUGAAUAAACUUUCACUUUGUAAAAUGCUCUUACAAUGUGAGAGCUAAGGGGACUUCCGAGGCCCCAUUUCGAUUUUUCAGUCAAUUUUGCCUUCCUUUUUUAAAAUUGAAACCUAGCUCUCAUUCGUCCUCAAAAAUCCCCAAUUUUAUUUCAUGAAUCAAAGUUGAGCCGCCUACAUACUUUCAAAAUAGCGCAAAAUUUUUAUCAACCCAAAACCCAGAAGAAUCCAUCCCUUCUGAACCAUACAAAGUUCGAAACUUUAAGGUCAGAUCUAUUUCUUGUUGCAUGUUUUUCAAUUCCAGCCCUUAGUUUAACUUGAUUUCUGUAUUUUUGUGAGGUUCUAUUUUCCGGGUUCUGUUCGAUUUUGUUGAUAAGGGCUUGUUUGGAUUUGUUAUUUUGUUGGUGUUUGCAGAUUUAGGGUCUUGGGUUUGUUGUACUGGGUUUUGUGGGUUUUGGCAAUUUCCUGCAAAUUUGAUGAGAAAAUGACCGUGUUGCCCAGCCAUGAUUCAAUUCAUAUAAGGGAAGUUUGGAAUGACAACCUUGAGGAUGAGUUUGCACUGAUCAGGGAAAUUGUUGAUGAUUACCCUUAUAUAGCUAUGGAUACUGAGUUUCCGGGCGUUGUUCUUCGUCCUUUAGGGGAUUAUAAGAACUUCACUGAUUUUCAUUUUAAAACCUUGAAGGCUAAUGUGGACCUUCUCAAGUUGAUUCAGUUGGGCCUCACGUUUUCUGAUGAGAAAGGAAAUCUUCCCACCUGUGGAACUGGUAAGUACUGCGUCUGGCAAUUCAAUUUCCGGGAGUUUAAUCCCAAUGAGGAUGUCUAUGCUCAUGACUCCAUCGAGCUUCUGAGGCGAAGUGGAUUUGACUUCAAGAAGAAUGUUGAUAACGGUGUUGAUGCUUAUCGGUUCAGUGAGCUCCUGAUGUCGUCUGGGAUUGUGUUGAAUGAUAGUGUCAGCUGGGUUGCCUUUCACAGUGGAUAUGAUUUUGGGUACUUGCUGAAGAUCCUGACGUGCCAGAACCUGCCUGAAACUCAGGAGGGUUUUUUCAAAUUGAUCAAGAUGUAUUUUCCAACUGUUUAUGAUAUCAAGCAUAUGAUGAGGUUCUGCAAUCACCUCCAUGGUGGAUUAAACAAGCUUGCUGAGCUGUUGGAAGUGGAAAGAGUUGGUAUCUGCCAUCAGGCUGGUUCAGAUAGUUUGCUUACUUGUUGUACAUUUAUGAAGUUGAAAGAGAGUUUCUUUCAUGGGACAACUGAGAAGUAUGCAGGUGUAUUGUAUGGUCUUGGUGUUGACAAUGGACCUAAUAGUACUUGAAAGAAAAGAAUAUCAACUCAUAAAUAACUAAAUAAAAAGCUAUUUUCUCGUGAAUGGAUGCCUACUCCUUUUGCUGUCCUCUGUGUGUUCUUGUUUCAUUAUUCUUAGAAGACCAGUGUUCAUCUUCAUUGAUAGUCAUUUUUUCUUUCUAAUUUUGGUGUUCUUGGACACAGUUGACUUGAAUAGGAAUCCUUUCAAGUAUUUUCCUUCGUAAAGCAUGCCUCUGCAUUCUUAUGGUACUCCAUUUGUCAUUAGAAAAAGCCCAGGGAAAAAAAAUGCAAAAACUAAAAGCAUGUGUGUUUUUUACCUGUAACGAUAUGAAUACGGCAAGUUAAGCAGUGACAGAGAUUAUGUGAGCAGAAGGCCUAACUAGUUGCUCUUGUGUCUUAAUUGUGCCUGAUUGGCCUCUCAUGUAGUCAGCAAAACCUGAUGAAAAAUACUAAACAUGAAUAUGUUUCCCGAAGUAUGUAAUUGUCAUUCUAGUCUGCCCACUACUGUCUAGGUUCUACGCUAGUGAUCCUUAUUAGAGUUUAGAAUUUGAUAUGGGUAUUGCAAAAUUUUCGUCCUUUUGAGCUUGGUUACUUCGUUAGGAUCAGGUCAUGGCUAGGGUUUCAUUAAUUUAUGAAGAUUCUGUAGAUUAUUUAAGAGAUUUGGCGUGGUGGUGGAUGCUACUAUUCUUGUUCAUUAUUAUCACCUGCAGCCAAGCGAAAGCUCUCUCUUUUACCAGAUUUGCUGGAGCUCAAAAGAAGCUGAUUUAGAAAAAAGAUAUUUUCUUCCAUCUCAUUGGCCUUACAAGGAUCAGCCGUCAUUAUGUCUUUGUACUCUGAAGAAUUUUCUUAUAUUAUGUUCUUUUGGAUAAUCUUGCCAUGUCAUCAUAAUUUGAUUUGUGAAAGAUGGUAAACUAUCUAUAAACCUGAUGGCAAGUGAAAUUCGCCAAGCUGGUUUCUUUUUUUGGUCAUUUAAUUUUUCUGCCUAUUAAGUUAUGGAUAUAGAAUUACUGCCGUCCCUCUCCCUCCCUCCAUCUGUCUCACUCUCUUUAAUGUACUUCUUCUUGUGAUGUUGUUAAUGCUAGUUACCGUAUUUGUCAACUAGAAAAUUUGAGAGCUUGCUUUCUUCCAGAUGUUAAUAAUGGAGGAAGGUAAAGAAGCUAACAUCAUAAUGUGCAACAGAUGGCAUUAGGGCUUUAUUUUGUUCAGAGAGAUAUCGAUUGAAAACAAGAUAAGCAACUAGAAAUAAAGAUGUAUCGAAAUAAUUGCAAUUGCCUUUAAACAGGUUCUGAGCCCAUCUUGUUCUUUAUGCUUAGAGUCACCUAUGAUUAAUACAGGUGGAAUUUAUAUUUUCUGAGAUCUAAAAUCAGAAAUCUCUCAAUCUUACGGGCUAUGUAGUUCUCUUGUUAGCAUGGGGGCAAUUGUGCAUUGUCCUUUGCUGAAAGUAUAAAAAACGUAGGAUAUGACACAUUUCCAUGGAGGCUGAAGAGAAGAGAGACAAGGUAAAAUGUGGAGGGCUUACAUAGGCCCACAAUAGUUGCAAUCCACAAGUGUCUAUGACAUCUGAAAGUCGUGGGAGUGUCAUGGUAGAAGUUCUUGCUUUUGCACAGGUUUGUUUAGAUGUUGUCAAGUACUGAUAGCACUGUAGGUUUCUUCUCAUAACCUAAUUUUUCUGGAUUUGCCAAUUUGACCAGGCAUAUAAAGUUUCUCUGAACAAGAUUACCGGUCUCACCUGUCACUCUGAUCAGGUUAAGAGUCAUUUACAAGAUGGCUGACUCUUUGUUCUGAGGUGUGGAUCAAUGAAUAUGAUGUUUGCAACUUUUGGUAUUUUCUGUUUUUGAGGUUCAUUAAGCAUCAUCUUUUCGUAGAAUAGUAUUCAUUUAAGUGCCAGUUUUAGGUCAAUUCAUUAAGUUUGCCUAAUGAGACAUGGGGAAGCACGGGGGGAGGCCAAGAAUGGCAGGAAAAAAAAUCCGCUUUUUGGUUUUGGUAAUACAGGGCAAAUAAAUGUGCCAUUGUGCUUAAUUUGAGAUUGUUUUUGCUACUUCUAUGCUCUAUUUUUUUUGCUUCUGGAUAAAUUUUUUUCUUACACACACGAUUGGGAACAUGCUGAGAGAUCUUUCUGACUUUGUAGCUUCCAAGUUACCAUUUCCUUGAACAAUAAAUCAGGUUUUUCAGUUCAAAUAUUAUAAAAAUUAGCUUUUAAUAAUCAUUUGGUUUUCUAGACAUUAGGUUAUCACACUUUCUUUUCUCUUUGGGUUUGUCUUUCCAUGCAGCUUUGUAGUUCCAAGUUUUCCCAACUUCUGGUGGAUGUUUGCAUCUCUUGCUGGUUGACAACGAGCUUGAGGAAUCCACUAAAAGGUCCGAGGAGUAUCUGUCUUGGUUUGAUCAGAUAUACUUGACAAGCCAGAGUUUGGAAUGUUUUUCUGGAUCUUCAUUUUUUAUGUUGACAAGAGAGCAAUCAUUUGUCAUUCUUGGUUAAACUUCAAUUUGCAUAUUGGUGAGUGGUGGAAUUUCAGGGGAGGCAUAUCUAGUUGUGCUUGUGACCUAAAGAUGUGAAAUAUUUAUUGCUUGUAAUAACCCCUUAUUAGCCAAUCUUGGAGCCAGCAAAAUUUAAAGAAAAAUGAUAGACAUGGUUUUUCUAAGCAGAGAUUGCAGUGCUAGCAUUGUAAGAUACUUAACAAGUUAUGCAGAAGCGUCUAACCUGUGCUGAAAACAGAUCCCAUGGUACUUAAGAUGAUGCUGUUGCAUGGACUUCUCAUGCUAUUUUGACCUCUAGUAUUCUGAUUUUACCUUUUUCCUUGUGUUUUCAGAAUCUUACAAGUUAUCCUUUUUCUAUUCCAAGCUUUGAUCACUUGGUUAAGCAUGAAGUUAGUCUAAGGUUUCAUUACUUCAUGAUUUUUAUUUUUUUCCAGGUGUGGAGUUGGGGUGGUAUUUCAAUUUGCUGCAUCAAGGGGAUAACUUUUCUCCACCAGUAUUCCUUGAUCUUUUGUCCAUAAUUUAUCAUCCUUUAUUCUUCCCCCAAGCACCACUUGGCAGCCUCAGCUGCACUGUGGAGCUCAAAAUAUAGUGGACCUGUUUUAAGAUGUGUUUUCUUCCAUUUCAUUGACAAUAUGAGGACCAGUCAUACUUGAAUUUUAUAUGAAGAAUUUCAAAAAAUUUCUUCCUUUUAUGCUGUUUGUGUUGACAUUUCCGCUUCAUAACAAUUUGAUUUUGGAGUGAUAGUAAAAUGCUUUGACAAGAGAUGGUGCCUAGGUUUAGCAUAAACCAGGUUGCAAGCAAAACUUGCAAAGCUGACUUCUGUCUUUAUUCAUUUAACUUUAUUUUCGAAUUAAUUAUGGACAAAUCAUUUCCUGCCUCCCACCUGAUGGUGCCCUCUUGAUUUUCUUUUGAGUUCAUUAAAAUACUAAUUUCCAUACUUGUUAGUGAGAAGAAGUUUAAGAGCCUGCUUUCUUUCAGAGGUAGAUAUUGGUGAGGGAGAAUAACAAAGAAGUUGACUUUGUGAGAGUAAUCAAGAGAUGUUUGCAUUCAUGCCCAUCUUCACCACCAUCCCAUUCCUGGCUUGAUACCAUGUGUUAAACAUGUUUUGGAUGACAUUCUGAACUGCUGAUUGGAGCUUGUGUUUAGGAUGGUUUAACCGUCCUUACCUCCUUUUUUAUCCUCUCUUCAUCUAAUACUUCCUGCAUGCUCAUCAUGCUUGUUGGUCAGUAGUACAUCAGAACUUUCCUUUAUAUAGCAAUGGUUUGUUUUGCUUCAUAAGACAAUCAUGUGCAGGAACUCUCUCAUUUUAUAAACACCCAUAAAAUGUCUUUUGGACACUAUUUAGGGUUCUUGUACCAAUUGUUUUCUUUUCUGGCAUCAUGUAUUGUUCGCUUCCAAACCUCAUAGAGCACCUUAUUGAUCUGGACGAUAUGCAUCGUGUCAGAGAAUAUGCAAGCCUAGAUAAAGUAGGUGUAGAAUACCUUGAUAGAGCAGAAGCUUUAACUUAGAUCGUUGGAUUUUAUUUACAUUCUUCUUUUCUCAACUAGGAAGAAGUUUAUUCAGCCAGAAUGAAGUUUGUCAAUGUGCUAGGUGCAUGAUUUUAUCUGUAUCCUGUAUCAAGGUACCAAGACCUUACCCAUGAAAAACGUAUCAAGUGCUUUACUUUAUUACUGAAGGGGAUUAAAGUUUUGAUUUUCUACGACAGUUGAACUCACAUUUAGCUAUGAUGAACUGACCUGAUGGGCCUUGAUGUUCACAGAACCAUCUUUCCCUGUAUGAAUAUGAAGCAAGCGCAAGUAUGAUGACACAUGGAAGAUUGUGCAGUCUCUAUUAUGAAUUAUUACUACAUUCCUGGCUUGCCAAGAGUGACAUGUCCCAGGUGUUUAGCAUUUGUUGUUCACGAACUCAUUUGACGUGUUAAGAGUGAGACCAAACCCUGAGCAGACACAAAUUUUCAAUGAAAUUUAUUGAAAUAUGUCUAUAUGAUUGUGCUUGAAUACGUGUAAUCUACAAGUAUGAAACAACAAACUUUUGAAAAUUCAUUUACUUUGAAUGUUUGUUACAGAUUUGCAGCCUUGCAGGUAGUUAGAAUUGCUGAUUCAUCCCAGUUAAGGGCAAGAAUAUUGGUUUGCUACCCAUACAUAUCAACUCCAGAUGCAUAUUUUCGGGAAUUUGGCAUUCCAGAAGCUUCUCUGAACUUCCUGCAGCUCCGGACAGAGAGAGGAAGAGGGGUUCCUGCUUGGUGCUUGCUGAAUGUCCUGCGAAUUUCAUCUGCACGGAUUGCUUAUGCAUUGCUUAGUGGAUUUUUGGUUUCAAAUAGCAUGUCUUUUACCCGUUAAGUAGCCUCUUUUUUAACCCAUUGUUCUGGAUUGCAUAAAUGUCAAAUUUCGCCUGAAAUGCUCACAUAUUCUUCUAUGAGAUUACGUGCAUCACUAGUGUGUCACCUUCCUUCGACACUUGAAGCUGGAGUUUGACGUUUCAUUUCGUUCAAACCGUGGAAUAGUUGCUGCGAUUAAACUUGUGUCUGUAAGAAAAUAAAGAAGGAAACAUCAUUUUUUGUCUUUGUGAUCUUUGAUUUCUGCAUUUUCUAAUCCAUGUUAUAGAAUUGACUGUUGAUGAUACCAAACAUUUUUGUUAAAAGAAAGCCAAAGUAUUCAAUUCUCAUACAUUUAACUCAUCCUGGUUAAAAUGUAACUUCCUAUGUUGAUGUCCAUAAAUUUCCUCAAAAGAGCUUGCGAAUUGCAAAAGUCUCCACCAAUCAUCUUAAAAUGGCACUCUAAACCGGCUCCUAUGAUACUUUUGACAGGUACAGAUAUACUGCCAGGAAGGGCAGUAGGUAUGCAUCAUGGACCAUGAAAAUGCUAAUUUUCAGUAAUCAAUUGACAGCUUUCACGAACUGCAAACUUCUUGGACUAUGAAAAUGCCAGUUUCUAAUAAUGAAAUGACAACUUUCACGAUCUGCAACUUCUUAUUGAUUAAUGAACAUUGAAAAGUAAGUAUCAGCCCAAUCUUGCCUCUCUUCGUAGUACCUGGAAAAGAUGUAACACUCAACCAUAAGUGGCAGAAAGUACUCCAGGAGUCGCAAGAAAAAUUUCCAAAUCACCUUAGCAUCUAACUACAGCUCAUCCAUCAUUUAAUAUGUGCUCAAAACCCACAAAAUGAACAGGUCAAACAAGCUAGCCACUUAAUAAUAUGGGGAAUAUUUACGAAAAACUGCUUGAAAGUUUAUCUAGUCUAGGUGGCAGACAACAAAGAAAGGAAGAAAACAUGCUGUAGCCUUAGAAUUAAUUGAGUUUUCAUCAAAAUUGAGACCAAUGCCAUUCAAACGUCAAUAGAUUAAAACUUCUCAAGAACAUUAAUAAAUAUUGCUCACUAUAACCUAAUAUUUCAGGCUAGAGACUAUCAAGCUGGGAAAAGAAAAGCUGGAUUGGCUAAAUAAUAACUUAAACAAUUAAAGGUGAGUCGUUUCAAGCCAGUUAAGACAAGGUGAGAUCUGGAAUCUGUACAGUAUUAAUGAACCCCUAAAGCCGGAAGAGGUGAUUCAUCAUUUCACUAUUUUAGUGAAAGAAUUAACCAAAAACAAUUAUGAAUAAACCUGUAAAAAACCAGCAUCCUGAAUAAUUCCACUUUAUUCCUCCAAAAAAAGAAGCAAAAAAUUCUCGUUUUUGAAUAAGUUACAGGUUACUAUGUCUUUAAUUCUCAGACUUGCUAUGUGGAAAGCACAAAAUUCAAUAUUAAAAGACAACUACCAACAACUGCAAUAUCUAAGAUAGCAUGCCCCUUUUGAGGCCAAUCUGCCCUGUAAAAAGAAUUGAUCAAAAAGCAGACUCAACAAGAGUUGGAGUAUGCACCAAUUAUAAAACCUGCAACUUUUGUAUUCUUAAACCCCAAGCACUUUCUAAAAGAGAACUAAAGGAACAUGGGAGCCAUGCUUAAAGAAUGGUAGUGUCAAACAUUUUGUACCUCCUCAGCAAAUUUUAUCAAGAUGGUUGUUCGAGGUCGCUGCUGUCCUUCAACAGGAACAAAAUGAGCUGUUACCACAGCAGGGAAACCUGCAUUAUCCAAAACUCCCUUCAAAAGAAAAAGCACAUCAACUAGAGGCCAACUCCAAAAUUAUCAAUAGGUAUUUGUACCAAAAAGAUAAAAAUGUAAGACAUACCCUUACAAUUCCAGCAACAAAAGCUCCGCAAUUAAAAGUACCCAUAUCUUUGGGAAUUGAUAUAAAUCUAGAAUCAAAUGAAUGCAUGUUAGCAGACCAUUAAGAGGACAGCUAAUACAAAUCAGAUACAAGCAUGCAACAAAGGGAGAAAGAUAACCUGUUGACCAAAAGUUCCUUCUCGCUAAUCAUGUAUUCAUCUUCAUGUUCAGUACCUUUCUCAAGAGAGUCAGCUACCUGAAAUUUACAUGGAUAAGAGGAUAAAAGAUGCAUUCAUGUCCCUUUCUAAAACAACUACGUCUUCAGAAAAUUCUCACCAAUACAGACAGUAUUGGUGUCUGAAUAAUAAUAAUAAUAAUAUGCACAUGAAAAGCUUAAUAUAAAGGUGUCUGAUAUUACAAGUUGAUUAUGUGGAGGACCAAGGACAGAUAUGAUGAAAAUGCUCCUUCUGGACAGUAGAAGUCCCUUACAUACAUUAUGAUCUAAGGCACAAAUUUGUGUGCACCCAGCACUUUGAAGCCACCAGUAGCAAAUUCUUGUCAGUUCUUUUAUUACACAACCUACUAAAAAUAACUCUUCAGAUUGUCAACCCUGACACAAACUCCAUCGUUAUUUAAGCUUCGGAAGCAACGUGCUUUCUAAACUGGAGUUCAUGCUUUUAAAAGAAGAAGUUAGCAGAGAACUAAAGAAACAUUAACUUCAACCACAUAGAAAAGAAGAUCGGUUAGCAGUGAUAGAAGCAUGCUAAAAUUUUCCAAUCUGUAUUGAUACAGUUUUUGUGCUAUGUAGACCAUCAUUUACAGAUGUGAGAAUCUAAAAAGAAGAUAAAAUUAUCACCUCAGAUGGCUAUCUUCAGCAGUAAAGUCAAAUUGGUGGCUUUACCAGUUAGAAAAGUAACACUAAAAUUUUGAGAUGUAAAUAAGCAAUUUUUCCCGCUAAAUGCUUAAUUCAGGGUAGCAUGUCUUUUUUAAAGCUUGUGCCAAAGUUCUGGAUUUGAUUCUUCUUUCCAGUAGUAACGCUCCACAGCUGUACUUAAAUUAAACAAAAGUGAAUGGGUGAAGCAUCUUCAUAAAAUGCAGAUAUGCUAUUUUCCAGGUUUACUUUUAUGUGCACAAGUAACAAGCUGCAGAAUAGUUGAAGCAUAAACGCUACAAUAAGAUUAUGCAAUUUAUUAUUAAAGUCGGAAGAAACUUUGUUCCCCAUGUUGUUGCAUUCAUAUUGAAGCAAUUUGGUCUCUGCAGAUCCCAUCUCCAAGGGAUCACCAUUCAACAUAAAAAGUGGCCAAAGGUUGUCAUUUUACAAAUACAGAAUAUAAGCAACCUUACAGUCAAUAUGGUUUUUCAUUGACUUGCAAACUCAUAGUUUUGCAAUCUUCUACAUUUCAUUGCGUAUGUUUAAACAAAUAUUUGGGGAUUAGCAACAUAUUGAAAUUUGAAAACACUCAGUGUAUCUGGAUUAUUCAUUUGAAUAUGCUUCUUUGCGGAUUGUCCUGAUCUGACAAUUGAAUACGCUCUAGCAAAAUAUUGGGCAGAAAAACAUAUCAAGGGCAUGCAACAAAGGCAUUGAGGGGACUAUAUAAAAUUAUACUACAAGAAUUUCAGUUUCUCAGUGCUCUAUCUAAUUUCUGAAGCAGUUAUCCUAGAUUUUCAUUCUCAGUAUAGGUCAAAUCUUAAAACAGCAAGCUGACAUAUACUGUGCCGUAUGAAUCCAAAACCAGCAACAGUCUUGAUAGUUCGGAGCUGGAAAGUUAGGUUAAUCCUUACUCAACAUCAUGAACUCAGAAAAAAUCCCAAACUUAAUUACCUGAGAAAAUAGUCAAUAUAGGAUUAAGAAAAUAAUAGAAUAUUACUUUUGCAAACGACAAAUGGAUUUUGACAUCCAUGACAGUUGUCAUAAGGAACAGGGAACAGGUCACAACAACAUUCAUAUCACAUAAAUGGUUUUCAUGACAUAGAGGCUCUUAGUUUUCAGAUUAUAAUCCUGCACCACCUAAGUUCACAUUUCUAAAAGAGUGUGGUAAACUUGCAAAAUGCCUUUCAAGUCAGAUUAGUAUUGAGAACACACCCAUAUUGGGAUCAUGAUGAUCAUCAAUCCUUUCAAAAAUUAAAAAUCAGGAGCAAGAAACUAUGAAGGUAUGUGGAGCCUAUCUCACCAUACCAGGCAAGGAAAGGUGGCAAUACUGAAAAGAGGAAACGAUUAGUUUGGCGAGUUAACAAAGACACGGGAAGAUAUACUUCCACUAAAGUUUUCAGGUCUUCAAAAUAAACCAAGAUAGAUCUACCACAAAAAGAGUAAAAAUUACUAAAGUUUCAAGAGACAAAUUUAUUUAAGCAAUGCACCAUAUCUUGAGAGGCCGCAAGUCAAUACCAACCUUUCCAAACAACACCUUCCAUACUGUGCUGUGUACAAAAGAUAAGAUACCCAGGAGUCGUGUCUCUCUUCUGUUUCCCUAAAGCAUCAAAUAAAUAGUAAAAACAUAAGCCAGUCAACUUAGAGAAGAACAAAAGCCAUAAACAUAGAUUUAGAGACCCCUCUGAGAAGUUCUUAUAUAACAUUAAUCACUUCACAAACAGUUACUCAGAUGUCCCUUUAAUAAUUCAACCAAUAAUUGAUCAAUAUGUUGCACCAUCACCAUUCACCAGAUCUUGCAGUGACCAAUAUGUUGCAUACAUGAAUCUUCGUGUGCGAAAAAUUACUCAAGGUAAUGCUUCAGUUAAAGACAAGAAUAAAUAAGCAUACAAAGUUAGCUGAUUUAAUAUUUUCUUUCAAACAGUAAUAGCUUUGUUUAGGAGAAUAGUUUUAAAACCUCAACACCAAAAAGAAAUUACUUGGUUUCUCCCUUGAUUUUUCAGUGUAUGUCCUAUAGCAAAGUAGCAGUGGAAUUACUUCAAAAAAAAAAAAAAAGAAAACUAAAAACAUUAUAAACACAUGAACUUGCUGCAAAUAAGAAUCUAAUCUGAAUCAAUUUAUUGAACUUCAAUCACUUCAGCCACAAUAGGCAGAUGUUAAAUGGACAAAAAUAUCCAGCUCUUCAGCUUUGCAAUUGAUGCAGAUGUUUUAGUUUCACUUCAAAGAUUAGGAUGAUUUAACAUGCAUAAAACUUGCCAUGGGCUACCAUAGAGAGUAAGAAUAUUCGCAUGAACUCUCUCGAUUUUCCGCACCUUUUCUCUGUGGCAAAGAAGUUCCAAAACCCUUGCUCCAACAGCAUAUCCUGCAUCUUCGAGCCUGCAAGCCCAAAACUAAGAUAUCAUCAAAUUAAUACAACAGAAUCCAUGCAUAAAUCAAGCAGUCACACAACUUCAGUAACCCAAAGUAAACCAUCAGAAACCCAAGGAUUGUGAAUCCAGUUCCAGAUCAAUCAGAACAACAAAAAUAAUCAUUUUGUAUGGUGUGGCGAGAAUGUUUGACAAAAGCAGAUUAGUAAAGGACGAUUCUUGCCAUAAAUUUUCAAAAUGCACGCUAAACUAACUAUUUAUAUUGCUGUUGCAUAUCCCCCCCCCCCCUCUCCACCCCUUUCUCCAAUCCCCACAAUUUAGCAUGUUAUUAGUCAGUUCAAUUUUUUGUUUCCAAAACAGUACCAGAUGAUAAUUACUUGCGCAUAAUUGCUUUGAACUGCACGGUGACUGAUUUUCCAUCCUGAGCACAUCUCACAAGUUUGAUUCAAGAAAUUUCCAGAACUAUAAAUUAACGCCAACCAUUCUUCACAGCAUAUACAUAUUGACCUACAUGAGUGGAAGAUAGUAUCACCUUCUUUCGAGUUCAGCAAUGUUGUCAACUUGAGUCUGAUUGUACUGAACCAGCUCUGAGAACAAGAAUGCAAAUGCACUCAAACUCACCUGACCAAACAAUUAUCAUUUUUUUAGAACAAAGAAGAGAUUUCAAUCAACAGCCAGCAGAAAGAACAAAACCCCAAUAAGAAAUACUAAACAACAAAUACAUUUCAAUUGUGACCAUGAAAAGAGUCAAAAACAAAAACCCAUCCACAUUGAGCCGCAAAACUACAUGAUUUGAGAUGAAACCAAGCUAAGUACCUUAUAAUUUGCUCAACUACAGUUAAUUAAAACCCUUUAAUCCGUUAACCUGUUACCGGCUAGAUCUGAAUAGGGAGUGAAAGAAAACCUCUUGUUUGCCUUUACUGAGGGGCCUGUCGAGGACAUUUGUGUACUGCUUCAUCUUUCCAACUCCUAUCAUCCUGCGAUCCUUCACCAAUUUGUUGGGUUGCUUUUUUGAUUGCUACUGUGUCUGCUUUCGCUCAAAGUACUUACCAGUCGUAGUUGAAAACUUAAAAGCGAAGAUCAAUUCGGGUUUUUGAAUGAUAAAAGCAAAUUUUUGUGCUCCUAAGAUUAAUGGAAGUAUACAAGGGUUUAUUGUAGUUGAAACCCUUAAACUUUUGUGUGAGUUGCACUUUGCGCCCUCAACUUUUCACCAACGUUUUUUAACCCAUUUUGUUAUAUGUUUCUGUUCUAAUCCAUUUCCUAUUUUCUCCAAACUCUCUCAUGUUACCAUAAUCUCAAAAGAUCAUAAAUGCGAGCUUCUAAUCCCUUUUUCUAUUUUUUGCACCGUCUUUUAUUAUGAAAUGUGAUACAUAGCUGUUUGAUAUGUUUAUUUACUUUUGAAUUUGGUAAACUGAAAAGGUAGAUGAGAAAGAGGAUUUGUGGCCAAACUAAAGUUUCAUAUUUCAAGAAUCAAAACGCUUCUAAUUCAAUUUAAUGUGAAAACUUAAAAAGUAUAAAGUCUUGCUGUAUCAUAUAAUAAAUAGUUUCGAGAUUCUUUUGGCCAAAAACCAUAUUGUAAGUAUCAAUUGUUUUACACAAUAAGGAAAUUGCACAUCAUCAUGGAAUUGUAUAUAUUUUUCCAUGAGCAUGCAUACAUUGUCUGCCGUUAUUAUAAAUUUUUACUUUUUUUACUCGUAGCAUCUGGUAGAAAAGUUGUUAAAAAAAUUCGUUUGAUUAGGAGAUUAUUUAGAAUAAUCACCGUAUUACUUUUUUGUGAUGUAAUAUAUAUGAAAUAAAAGAGUGAUUAACAAUAUAAAAAAGUGAUUGCAAAACGUAUUUAUGAUACAAGUAAAAUUAUAUUAAAAAAUUAGUAUUCAAACACACCCAAUAUUAACUUUUCUUCUCAUUCAUUUACUAAGUAAAAUAAUUGGUUUACUUAACAUGCAAUGAUAAAUUAUUUUUAAUGUUCCAUUUACGAAUAAUUAGCUUUGCAUUGAUCAAACAAUGAAGGAAAAAAGAAAAACUUUUAGACCAUGAACUAAUGUGUUUGGAUGGCAAAUUAUUUGAAAAAACAAAAUCAGAAUAAUACUAGCUAUAAUGAGUUUGUUUGGAUAAGAGUUUAUUUGGAUGAUUUAUUUGAGAUAUUUACUGUAGCACUUUUUGUGAUGUGAUGUAUGUGAGAUAAAAAGGUGAUUGAGAAGAUAAAAAGGUAAUUGGGAUUUAUGAGAAUAAAUUUUGCAAACCAAAUUAUCUUUGUCCAAACAAACUCAAUGCUUUUAGUUUUUUUUUUUUUUUCAAUUGGGGGUGUUCCGGCCUACACCCGACUAGUCCCCAACCGCGUGGAGAGCAUGUCCCACUGAUCCUUAAGAAAUUACGCCGGAUUGCUGAGCUCAGGAUCAAACCCAAGCCGUCUCACCUUAAUGAGGGUUACACGAUCACCCGAACAACCCGUCGAGGACGCUUUUAGCUAUUUGAUGUAUCAUUUUUUACCCUCCUUUUAAGUGCCUAAUGAAGCUCUUUAUGAGUUAAUUACAUGUAAAUAUUUUUCUAGUCCUAUGCGCCGCAACUUGCAGCCAUGAAACAAAGGGCUUGUUUGGAAGUGAAGUUUUUGAUCAAGUUUUUUAGCUACUAGUUUUUUAACAACUUUUGCUACAGGAAUCCCAAAAAACUUAUCACAGUUUUUUACUUACACACUUCAAAAUAAUAUACAAAAAACUUUCCCUUCAACUUUUCUUCUUUUUCCUCCCCCACCCAACCGCCCACCACCUCCACCACCGCUUCCGGUGCCAAUAACUAUUCCGGCCAACUUUUGCCGGCCUUCCUCUUUUUUUUUUUUUUUUUCUUUCCCUCCCCUCCCCCUUUGACUGAUAUGUUGGUUUCCAAAAUCUCUUUUUUCUUUUUUUUUCUUUCUCCCUCCCCCCUCCCCUCUUUCCCUCUACCUUUCCCCGCCACCUUCCCCUUCCCGCAGCUUGGGGAGAAGGAAAAUUGAAAAAAAAAAAUUACACUCAACUGUUGCUGCUUAUUCUGCUAGCAAGAUAAGGAAAGGAGAGGGAGAUGGAACAUUGGAAAAAAAAAAUCAUUUAUAUUGCUGCAAAACUCAUGUGCAAAACUCAAGUGGCGGCAGAGGGAGAGGGAGAGAGAGGGGUGGCGGGGGAGCUUUUGCAUGGGUGGGGGAAGGGGGUUGCGGGCAGAGAGAGAGGAAGGGGGAGCUUUUGUAGGGGUGGAGGAAGGGGUGACGGGGCAGAGGGAAGGAAAAGGGGAAAGGGAGGAGAGGGGUGGCGGGAGGUGGCAUUGGUGGAGUUGCUGCUGGGGGUGGUGGAGGUAACGGGGAAGGGGGAGUGGGAAGGAAGAAGAAGAAGAAGAGAGGAAAGAAAAGAAAAAACAAAGAAAGAAAAAGAAAAAGAAAAAGAAAAAGAAAGAGAAAGAAAAAAAGAAAGAAAAAAAGAAAAGGAAAAAAUAAGUUUUUCACCCUACAAAAACUUCUACAAAAUUUUUCACCUUACAAAAACUUCUACAAAAUUUUUUCAAAAACUUCUACCGUGCACUACAAUAAAGGGCCUGUUUGGAAGCGAGUUUUUUUGGCCAAGUUUUUUAGCUACAAGUUUUUUAACAACUUUAGCUACAGGAAGCCAAAAAAACUUAUCAAAUUUUUUAACCUACACACUUCAAAAUAUCUAAUACACAAAAAACUUCUAUCUUUCUUCUUUUUUCUCCCCCACCCCAUCCACCAUACCUUCAUUGCCGGCCACCAUCUCUGCCGCCGUUUCCGGCGCCGGCCACCUAUUCCGGCAUCGACGUUCCCAAAAUUUUUUUUCCUUCCUUUCUCCCUCCCUCUCUCCUUCGCUCCCCUCUCCCCCUCCCCUCCCUGGCCAAACAGCCCAGAACUAUGCAGCAGUAGCAGUUACUUUCCUACGCUAUGGCUGACGGGAAAAUGGGGGAACAAGGAAGGGGGGUGGCGGGAAACGGGAAACGGGAAGGGAAACAAAGGAGGGGGAAACGGGAGGGGGGUGGCGGGCAGGAGGGUGGCAUGCAGAAUGGGAGGUGGAAGGGGCAGGGAAGAUGGCGGGGCAGCGGGGGAAGGGGGAAGGGGCACAGGGGAAGGGGAAGAGGGCUGCGGGAAGGAGGGGGUGGCGGAGCAGAGGAUUGGCAUGCAAGGGGGAGGGGAAAGGGGCAACAGCGGGAUGGCGCGGCAGCAGGGGAAAGGGAGUGGCGCGGCAGCGGGGAAGGGCUAGCGGGGGAGGGGGUGGCGGGAACAUAGUGGGAGGGGAAAGGGCGAGAGGGACUGGCAACUAGGGGGAAGGGCUAAGGCGAAGGGGAGGGGGUGGCGGGACAGAUAGGGGAGGGGAAAGGGGGGCGAGGGACUGGCAACGGGGAAAGGGCUAGCAGAGGGGAGGGGGUGGCGGACAGAGGGAGGGGAAAGGGGCGGAGGGACUGGCAAACAGGGAAGGGCUAGCAUGAGUUGAGGGGAGGGUGGCGGACAGAGAGGGGAGGGGAAAGGGGCGGAAGGACUGGCAAACGGAGGGGAGGGGAAAGGGGCGGAGGGACUGGCAACGGGGGAAGGGCUAGCGAGGGGAGGGGGUAGCGGGGCAGAGGGCGUGGCGUGCAGAGAGGAAGGGGAAGGGGGCUGGCGGGGGAAAUGCAGAGGAGAGGAGAAGGGGAAAGGGAGGAGAGGGGUGGCGGGAGGGAGAAGGAAGAAGAAGAUGAAGAAAGAGAGGAAAGAAAAGAAAAAGGAAAAAAAGAAAAAGAAAGAGAAAGAAAAAAGAAAGAAAGAAAAAAAAAAGAAAAGGAAAAAAAAAAUUCAUCCUACAAAAAUUUUUACAAAAUUUUUUAUCUUACAAAAACUUCUGCAAAAAAAUUAUUCACCUUACAAAAAUUUCUAUAAAAUUUUUUCAAAAACUUCUACAGUGCACUACAGUAAAAUUUUAGACAAACUACCAAAAAACUUAGGUUCUAAACAGGUCCGAAGUUUUAGACAAACUCCCAAAAAACUCAAGUUCCAAACAGUCCAGAAAUUGGCUGUGAUUUCUCCUAUUAGGCAUUAUAAUUGCAGUCUUAAGAAGUAGUAGUACAAGUUGCCUAAAAAAAAAAAGAAAAAAAGUAGUAGCACUGGUACUUGCCAAGAGGCUCCGAACGAGCUUCAAAACCCUCCAUUUCUCUUGAUUGAGGCUCACACACUAGAUACACUCAAAAAACACGCACUCGCGUUGUUCUCUUUCUUCAUGGAAGACGAUGAUGAGUUCGGAGAUCUCUAUACUGAUGACGUCUUAAAGCCUCUAACGACGUCGUUUCAAUCUCAACCUCAGCAGCAGCAGCAGCAGCCACCUGCUCCGCCUCCUCCUCAGUUCCAGCUUGAAAAUAAAGAAUCAUCCAAACCGACGGCGUAUCAAGGCCGUCCGAUCGAUCUAAACGUCAAUAGCGAUAAGGAUGAUGAUGACGACGAUGAUGAUGAGGAUAAAUUUUUCCGAGCUGCGAAUUCCAGUUCCACUGGAAAGAUUCAAACCCUAGCCUCGUCGCAAACCGGAUUCUAUUCUCGUCCUGACCCGACGAAUUUUGAUUUGAAUAAGAUUUCCGGUCAAGUGGAGGGGAGCUCGGGGGGUUUAGCUGGGGCUGGAUCGGAUUCGCAAGCUAGGGUUUUGGGGACGAAGGAAGGAGAUGCGAAAUUGCCGGAAAGGGCUCGGGGGAGUUCCGGCUUAGGUGACGACGCUGAUAUUGACGUCAUGGUUGAAGAGAGGGACGAAAAAGACGACAAUUUCGUUGUUAAAGGUGGAAAUUUGACGGAUAGAAGUGGAAAUGUUGAGAAUUUUGGCACGGGAGACCCGAUGAUUCCGGGGCUGUCGAUUCCCGGAGUUUCUGGCAGAGUAGAAAGCCGUGCCAACGCUAAUUAUGAUGAUGAUUGGGAUAGUGAUAGCGAGGAUGACUUGCAAAUCGUGUUGAAUGAUACUAAUCAUGGGCCGAUGGGGAUGGAGAGGAUGGGAGGAGGAGGAGGAGGUAUGGGGGAUGAAGAUGACGACGAUGAGGAUGACGAAGAUGGGGAGCCAUUGGUGAUUGUUGCAGACAAUGAUGACCCGAGCCAUCAGCCAAUGAUGAUGGAAGAGCAAGAUUGGGGAGGGGAGGAAGUGGGAGCUGGUGGCGAUGGGGAGAAAAAGGAAUUAGGUGAAGCUGCAAAAAUAAAUGGGGCAGGAGGUGGAGCUGUGGCGGCACAGAAGAUUGGGUAUAGCGGUCACGGGUAUCAUCAUCCGUUCCAUUCACAGUUCAAGGUCAGUGAUGUUGCCGCACACCUGGGGUUUGGUGCUUUCACCCUCUUGUUUGAUGAGAACUUGCAAUGUACUAAACUGGCUAGUAAUUGUUGUAUAGAGUUCUGGAAAUUGGUUACAUUAGAAUUCAUCAAUGCGGUUGUCGUAUGUGUUAAUGAGGUUGACUGUUGUACUGGUUUCAAAUCUCCAGUAAUAAAAUUUAGUAUGAUUUGUGACCAAUUUCAUACUCCAGUGCUUUUACUCAUUCUUAGCUUCUUACUUGUUCAUUUGGCGGCUUUAUAUUUUACAGACGAUGAACAUACGUCCAAUGUGGCAAUAGCAUGUAGCUUCUUGUUUCUGGCGCAUAGGGAACUAGUUUGUUUCAGUCCAUCCUAAUCUUUUUGUGCUUUCGAGGAGAGUUUCCGGUGACCAUACACAACCUUAUUCACCAAGCGUCUUCUAAAAGUUGUCAAUCUGUAUGUCUGUCCAAGUUUUGAGUAGCAGAAUUCAAUGAAUAACCAAUGUCAAGAUUGAACUAAAAUUGUCUGCUAUCACUCAUUCCUAAAAUUUCUUCUGAAACUGCUCCUUGGGGUUAAGUGUUGAGAAGAUAGCUGGCAUUUUACAAGAACUGGUUAUGAGUGAAUUUCCUUGCUUGCCUGGGUGGCUUGCAUUGAGCAUCUAGACAUGCUGCAACACAGAAGUUAUACAACUUCAUGCAACAUGCCGCCAGCGACCCAGUUUUGUCCUUUUGAACCUUGAACUGAUUAUUGCUUGUGGAAACAAAGCAAAUGGUGCAUUUAGCAGUUUCCCUUGCACUGGUGCAAACACAUUUUCCUACACGUUGCGACUCACUAUUGGCUGGAAACCAGCUGUUAUUGUUGUUUGAUGAGAAAUGUUGUAAAAUAUCUACAUCAAGUAUUUAGCUACCUUAAGUUUUAGAAAAUCCCUUUUGGUAGUUAUUAUAUUUCGUAUCUUUUUUCAAAAAUUUCUUGGUAUGGAAUUGAUUUUAGUAUGAGGAUAUCAUUUUCACCUGAAGUAAUUACACUGGUGGCCUUUUAAGUGUCGUUUAGAUGUUAGUUAAUAGAUGCUUCUAACUAAAGCUAUUCCACAGCUGUGACAAAAUGAUGUUGCUUUUAAUUGAUUUCUCUUUGUUAUUAGUCAUUUGUUAGCUUCUUGGUACUUUAUGCUUUUCAUUUUCAACUAAUAAUAAUUUAUCAAGAUGCUAAAGCCCAGAUUGCCAUCUUCUAUCAUGACACAAACUGUUCCUUUUUUAGGGUCUCUAACCCUUCAAUUUUUCCUUUCCUAUCCUACUCAUUAGCCUUAUUAGUUGAAAUACUGUUGAUAUUUUCGAAUAAUGCAAGAUAUCCGAACUACGUGAAAUUUGUAAUUUUUGUACUGUGAAUGUUUAGCUAAAGGUUUUCGAUAUUUAGUUGAUUUUUUUUUAGAUCAUUGAGCAUGUGUUUGAAAGGCUUGCGUCAUAUUAAAGAUUUGCUCUUAUGUUGAUUCUCCAUUUGUUGAUACUUUUUCUGUUCUUUUCUUUGGAAAACCGUGUAGUAUGUGAGACCUGGUGCGUCACCAAUGCCUGGAGCAGCUGCUAUGGGUCCCGGGGGCACUUCAGGUCAAGUUCGUCCACCUGUGAGCAUGGUUCCUGGUGCUGGACGUGGCAGAGGUGAUUGGCGACCGACUGGAGUAAAGGGUCCUCCAGCAAUGCAGAAAGGUUUUCAUCCAGGCUAUGGAAUGCCUAUUUGGGGAAGUGGGGCUUCAGGACGUGGAUUGGAGUUUACACUUCCAUCACAUAAGUAUGUUUAUUUUGAUGAGGAUACUGGUAGUGCUAUUCUAUCACAAGCAUUUUGCUCAUUUUCUAAAAAAUUUAAACAAAAAAUGUCCAUGGGGUGAAUGGAUUUGAAGUUAAAACUGUUACAUCCACCUGCUGAAAGCUGUUAAGGUUGGGGUUAAGACAUUCUCAUGUUCACCUGCCGAAAACUGUUAUUUGGCAGGCAAAUGUUUUGAUCUUCUCAAGUUAAAGACCUAUUUUCUGCCUUAGUUGCUUUUCUGUAGAAGUGCCUUUUUGUAGCCUUUCAUGGUGGAGAUGUUUGCAUGUUCUAAUACAAACAUCUUUUCCGAUACAUACAAAGUCCAAAACAAGUGGUUGGUGGAAAUCUUAAGCUUUUGUUAAUUGUCGAUAAGUUUAUGCAUGUAUUUGAUUAUCUCAUGCACAUUUGGGAUGCGGAUAUUAAGGUAAAGUAUGGAACUUUCACAAUCCCUGGAGAGAUUGUUCACUAAUAGACUAGGGGAUAAGUAAUUCAACUUAUUCACAUCCAGAUCAUGAAUGUUUGGAAUCCAUAUUAUGCAAGGAGACAUUGCUUUUGCUAAUUCAAUUUGAAGAGUGAUAUAAAAUUGGUCUAUUUCUGGCAUCAUAUCCAUAGCGCAUUCAUCAUGGUUAGCAGCUCCAGCUCCAUAUCAAGGCUAUAUUGUCUCUUUCAUCAAUAUUGAUUUAUUUUGCUGUUUAGCUGAUUUGAGAAAGACAAUAGAUACUUCUAAUUUUAGAUGAGCAAAAUAACCAAGAAUGCAAGUAGAAGGGACUUAAUUCUUUUAGGAGAAGUGAAAAGCUGAAGGUCAACAGUAGUUUUGGGAUUCUUACUCUUGGAUCAGUUUAGACACUUGGGUACUGUCAUGCUAGUCAAACUUGUCGAAUCAUUAAAUCUUUCCCUUAGAUUCUAGACAGGUGUCGAGUCGGAGUUGCCUCUUCCAUCUUUGGCUUUUACUCAUGAUUGGUACAAACGUAUAAAGGAAAUGGUGAGGUUGUCUAAUCAUAUGUGCUUCCUUGUCUGCCAUGUACAUUUUGGUCUUGGUCACUUCUGUAACUUGUCUGUCAAAUUAAACUUUUUUACAGUAACUUUGUAAUGUAUAUCUAUAAAGGAAACAAGAAAGGGCAAAAAUUGGGAAGAAGGGAGAGAGAUACAGAAAGGCAGCAGAGGAAGUACAUCUCUAGUUUGUAUUUAUGAACCAGUGAUAGAAUUUUUUUGUUUCUGUGAGGGCCAUGUUGAAUUAUGUUUGAAGUGUUUUUAAUCCUAGACCAUCUAUUACCACUGAUAGUAUGCCUGUGUUUGGAUAUUAAGAUCAGUAAUCAUCUUUACUUGACCUGGAGAAUAUCCCAUUGGAGAAGUUUGACAUCUAGCAUUAGACUCGUAUGGGAUUGAGAAAGAUGAGGAGGGUUGUAUAUUACACUUCCUUAAACCUCAGAGAGCAAGAAUGCAAAUUCGACGAGGAUACAGCUUGACAUAUGCAAGCUUGAUCAUUACACUGUAACAGAAGGUUAUUAAUUGAGGAAGAUCACAAAUUUCAUAACAUUGGACUGCCAUAACAUUGGACUGCAAGUGAAGCCUUAUAGCAUUUCACGUUGAAAAUACUCAUUAUCCUGUAAUGCGGUGAAAGGUUGACCCUUUGAGCUAGUAUAAGUAAAUAAGCACUGAAAACUCUUUUUUGUCCUUUUGAGAAAAACUUUGUGGAAAUUCUUAUUUGAGUUUGUAAGUAUCCUUUGUUAGAGAUACUCCCACUUUAGGAAAAAAUUUCUACCUCCUUGUAAAAGCUUGCUGCUUUAAACUUCAUUGCCGGUCAGAGUUUCUGGGUUGUCUCGAUGAUAAAUUGGUUUUGGUGUUUGUUAACAUGUCUGUUUUGCUUUUUAAAAAGAUAACUGCCUUUGGUUGUGCAUGGCGGCCAAGUAGUAUUUCUAGACAAAGAUUUUGCCAUUUUCUAUUUGUUUCUGUGCAUGUAAUGGUGAAGUUUUUUUUUAAAUUAAAGUUUGUUAUAAUUGGCCUUUUAACCUUAUGUUUUAUUACCAGGACCAUAUUUGAAGUUGACAUUGAUGGUUUUGAGGAAAAACCAUGGAGACAUGCUGGUGUGGAUAUAACAGAUUUUUUCAACUUUGGAUUGAACGAGGAAAGUUGGAAAGAUUAUUGCAAACAGCUCGUAGGUUUCACCAACAGCUUUUUGCAUGCCUUAAAAAGAAUUUUACCUUGUGAUUUAUCCUUCUACUUUUAUAAUUUUGUGUGAUUGUGUAUCAAUUCCUUGUUGGGUAAAUCUGAUCUGCACAAAGUGUAAUAAAAAAUUGUGUGCACAUUUUAAAAUAAAAAUUAAUGCUAAUUUUCAGGAGCAACUCCGUCUUGAAACAACAAUGCAAAGCAAAAUUCGUGUUUAUGAAAGUGGGAGAACAGAACAGGUACACAGUCUUUUAAAAUUUGGAUAUGUAAUAUUCUGAAUAUUUGCAUGAGAUUUUUUGUGGUUUAGAAAGAAAAUUGUAUUUUAUAUCUGAUUUGUUUUUCCUCUUGUAUUAUGUUCAGGAGUAUGAUCCAGAUCUUCCACCUGAGCUUGCAGCAGCUGCUGGUAUUCAAGAUACUACAUCUGAAAGCUUGAAAGUUGGGAAGCCAGAUGCUGUUCAAAAUGACUUAGGCAGAGUACCUGCUCGUGUGCGACCACCCUUGGUAUGUAGUUUUCUUAGACCUUUUGCUUUGCUACUCGUGAAACAUUUUGACCAUUUUAUAAAAUUCAUGUUGUUAUUUUACUUCUAGGCUAAAUUUUUGGUGCUAGGAUCACUUCUUUCUCUACCUCAUCUGAUUGUGGAAUAUUUUACAGAUUAAAUAACCAAGAAAAGAAAAUGCACCUAUAGAGUUCAUUCUCUCUACUGAAUUGAUUUAAUUAUUUACUUUUUAAUCUGCCACCAGCCAACUGGAAGAGCAAUACAAGUGGAAACUGGUUAUGGUGAACGUCUGCCGUCUAUUGACACUAGAAAACCGCGGAUUAGUGAUUUAGAUGUAAUUAUUGAGGUAAGUUUUCAGGUCUUCCUAUUCUGUCUAACUCAACCUUCGUUUUUGUAUCAAUUGUAAUGUAGUUUUCAUGUAUUGAUGUUUCUUUUCUAUUUUCUUCCUUAACAGAUUGUGUGUCAAGACCCUGCUGAUGAUGAUACCAACACUGGAAAUGAGAUGACAGAGCAAGCUGACAAUGAUCCUUCGAGGGAGGAUCUUAGGGAUGGUGAUGAGUUUGAAGACCUUCCCAAAGAAGAUACUGAAGAUGUGGAUCGUGUUCCACAUGCUCACAGCAGUCGCAGGAGGGAAGUUGUGGGCGGAAGAGUGCCAAUUUCGAAAUCUGUUCACGAUAACUUGGCUAAAGGAAAUGGCGAUUUGCCUCUCUCUUCGGAAGCACCGUCAGCAUCCCAUCCUGACUCCAGAGAACAGACACCUGUUUGUCCUGGUAGAGAUUUUGCUCAUGAGGAGAGGUAUGAAAAAUUGCUGGAAAUUCAGUGCAUUUUUAUUUUUAUCUUGAACUCUUUUUAUGGCAUAAGCAUGUGAAACCACUUAAUUGGAUUUGAAAUUUUGAUAAAUUUUUCUCCUUAUUAUGCUGUAUCACAUUUUUAACUGUCAGUCUAUAUAGUAGAGCGAUUCAAUCCAGAGCUUUGCUUGUUACUUGGUUAGUAGGUCCUAUCUGUAUGCAGAAGGAUGAUGGCUUACUAGAGAUUAAUGAUCAUGAAAUUCAUAGAGGGACGAAGCUCACCUUGAUGACAAGUCUGCUCCAGCAUUUUUGUUAGUUAAAUUUGCUUGCUGCAGCUCCCUUCCACAAAAGCUUCAGCUUUGUGUUUUGGCUGUUAGUGGACAACUAACUGUGCAACUUUUUAAGUUGUUGACAAUGUAGGAGACUAUACAUGAAUUUUCUUCAAACAUUCUUGUGAUGAACUGUCGCUGAUGUUAUACACAAAAUUAGUUGUGACUUGCAUUUAGGUUUUGGCUUCAUGAUCAUCAUUGACUUGUUAAGUGACAGUAAUUUUCUUUUUGUGAAUCCAGGCGGACAAAGGAGAGAGCACGUGACAGUUCCCCCAUGAUUGCCAAUAAGGAUUGUACUGCUGAAGAACGAAUAACUGAUAAUAAAGAAUCUUCAGUUGAAAGUUUAGAAGGCAAACAUAGUCUUCCAUCAUCUCCUUUAGCUGUUCGAGGUGCUAGUGAACAAAAUAGUGAACCUAAAGAUGCUAUGAAUGAUGAAGUUGCCCUGACUGAGAUAGGCUCUGACAUGAUUGACAAGGAUGCGUCUUUGAAUGCUAAAACAAGUAGUGAUUCACUUACAGAUGAAACAGGGAACCAUGCUUUGAAAAAACAGAAAGUGAGUUCAAAUGAUGAACAGCAUCUGCCUCAAGAAAUUGAUGAGGAUGAAGACUCAAAAGCUGCAAGAAGUAGUGAAAAUAGUAAAGCAAAAUCAGGAAGUAGCAAUUACCGGAAGCUACGGGACAGUGUUGAAGAAGAAGAGGUUCAAGGAGCGCGCUCAAAACACAUGGGUAAUCUUAAAAGGUCAACUGUGGGCAGCGAGGACAGUGUCCGAAGGAAACUUCGUGAUGAUAGACAAGAAAAUGAUAGACACCGCACCUCAGUGAAAGGGAGGGAAGAUUUAUAUCAGCACAAAGGGUUGGAUCCUUAUUCUGCGCAUCCUUCUCGAGGGAAAUCUGUGAAUAUAGACCUGCGAAAGGAUAUGGAUAGUAUUGAGGGAGCCCGUCAUCGCAGAGAAGAAGAUUUGCAUGGGAGGAGACCUAGAGCUGAAGACACAAGAAAAAGGGAGCAUAGGGAUGAGACUGAUUCUAGACACCGCAGUAAGGUUCGAGAAAUUGAAAGGAAUGAAAAAGAUGAACAUUAUCAACUGAGAAAACAAUUGGAUAAUGGGAAUUGGAAAGGCGGUUAUGAUAAAGAUGUGGGAUUGAGGCACAGAGACAGGGAGGAUAAUGUGAAAAGUCGAAAUGAAAUAAUAGAUGACCUUCACAACAAGAGAAGGAAAGACGAUGCACAGUUAAGGAGGGAGCAUGCUGAAAAGGAAGAAAUGUUGCAUGCUCAGCGAGAAAGUAGCAGUCGUAGAAAGAGAGAAAGGGAUGAUGUGUUAGAUCACCGGAGGAGGGAUGACCAAGUAAGAAUGAGAGAUGAUGAUCAACAUGGUGUUAGGUACAAAGAAGAGGGAUUGUUUCAGAGGGAAAGGGGCGAGAGGCAACGAGAGCGAGAGGAAUGGCAUAGGCUUAAACAAUUGAAUGAGGAUAUUCCAUCAAAGAAGGAGAAAGAAGACUUGCGGGUUGGAAUGAGGAGUGGGCGAGCUACUGAAGAGAAAACAUGGGGCAGUCAAUCUAGAGGCAAAGAUGACCGCAGAAGUUCUGAUAAGGAGUACCAUUCAAAGGAUGCAUUGCGGCAGAGUGAGUUAAUCAGCAGGAGGGAUCGAGCUGAAAAUGAGAGUCUUUCACAGCAUAGGGGUCGUGAGGAGUAUUAUGCACAUGGGAACCAGCUCAAUACUGAUGAGAGAAGAGGAGCAAGGCAUGAGAGGAUGAACACUCGUGAUGAUCGGGCUGCCAAUGUUGAGAACUACAAGGUGCAUGAGAGAAAACACAGAGAAAAUCCAAGGAAGGGUAAGGAAACUGAGAGUGUUGAUCGGAAUUCCUUGGCCCGUUCUAGGAAGAAUCAAGAUGAAAUCAGUGCGCAGACAAGCGACAUGGUAUGUUACAUUUCUGAACUGGCUUUUCUUUUUCUUCUUCCUGUUUUUCUGAAGGGAUGGGAAUUAUUGAUUAAAUAGCCUUGCAGGUAUAGUUAGGCCAUUUACUGCCUGACUUUCAUUAACCAACUUCCCCUUGGGAUGAUUUCGAAUCCUGUUGCCUGCCUUUGUGAUUGGAUGGGAUUGAGUGGUUUUUUUAUCUCAUUUUCAAGGAUUAUGUGCUGAAUGGUUCUGGAUAUUGUGACAAAGCUGACCUUGAAUACAUGAAAUGAACAUUUUUGGACUUGAGAUACUUAGUGGAAAUUCAUUGGCCGUCCAUUCUCUAAUAAUUGAUCAUGGGAGGAAUGCACGUUCAGUUUUUCAUUACUACUGGAUUUUGCUUAAUGAAGUGGAGAUUUUCUAAACUUUCUCAUGCCCAUAGCUAGACGACCAUUUGAUGCGUCUUGAUGUCUACGCUUUCCUGGUUGACUAUUUGUUUUCAUAUAUCCUUUUACUCUUAUGGUCUCUGUGAGGACCUUGUUUACUUUUGAUCAACUACUUCUUUAGCACUUAUCUUGAAACUUAAUCGAAUAUUUUUUCUUUUAUUCCAUGUUCUCUGGCACAGUAUGCAUAUCAUCAAUGAGAAUUGACUUUUUCAUGAUUUUUAGUUUUUCUUCUCCCUAGGCAAAUCUCUAAAUUUUUGGUCAUAGAACUGUAACUUCAUACCUUUUCUAAGUUUAAUUAGCAAAUUAGUAACCCUGGGUGUGUUAUCCCAAGCGAGACUGCCAAUGUUUGUAAAACUUGUAUAAUCCUUCAAACCAUUUUUGUCUAAAGAAGCUUCUGGAAAGCUGAUAUUUCCAAUGUACCAUUUAACAUGCAAUUUCUGUGUAUGGUACCAUAUAUUUCCUUGUGAUGCACUGCUGAUGUCAAAACAAUUUUGAAUGUCCUUCAAUACCUUAAUCUUUGAAUCGGAAAAGGUGACUAACAGAUUUUUUUUUCUUUUAUGAUCAAGUUGUUAUGCAUUGCUGACUCAGGCAAAGCUUAGCAUAGCAAUAAAAAUAGCUGGACUGUAAUAUCUUGUUGAACAUGAUAGCACUUCUGAGAAUGCUUGGCUAGUAUUAAUAUGGUACACAUCUAGAUUCUUCUUGAUCUUCUAGUAGAAGGGAUUGUGUCUAGCUUUCAGCCUCUUUGUAUGGUUUCAUUGUAUUUGUCAAACUGGAAAUAGCAAUAUUUGCUUUGACUAGCUUAUAAAAUGGUAGCCAGUUAAUCCCAAUGAAUAAGCGCGAUAUUAGUCAGAGUAAUUCUUUGUGACCAAAACAUCACCAUGUGGAUACUUCUUUUGCAAGAUCUGCUUGUGUCGAUUCUAUAAUGUAUCUGUGGCUAGGCAGCCUUCUCCAUUGAUUGUAGCAUGUGGGAUAUCCCUCGCACAGAUCAGAAUCAUGCUGGCAAGUAAAUGGGAAGUACAUGUCAAGUUACAUCACACAGAUGCAUGGAAGUAUUUGUAUCUGUAUGUAUAGCUUCAAAUUUAUGAUUUUCCUCUUUCUCAGGUGAGAUUCAAAGGCAGAAUUGAGCAGGGAAAAAGUGAAAAUGAGAUCCAUGUGAAUAUUCCGCCAUCUAAAAAGCAUAGGGAAGAGGCUUCAUCAGAUGAUGAAGUGUCGGAAUCCAGGAGGGGACGCUCCAAACUAGAACGCUGGACCAGCCAUAAGGAAAGGGAUUUCAGUAUCAGCAGCAAGGCUUCAUCUUCCGUGAAGAUGAAGCAGCCUGAGGCAUACGGUAGUGGCGGGCCUUCCAUUGGCAGCAAACUUCGUGAUGAAGCUUCUAACCCAGUGGAGGAUAAGCAACACCCCUCAGGUAAUGAGAAAGAUGCUGCCAGUUUGGAGACGAAUAACACUGAUAAGAAGCCCAUAGAGGAUAGACACUUGGACACUGUGGAAAAACUAAAGAAGCGAAGUGAACGUUUCAAACUUCCAAUGCCGAGUGAGAAAGAAGCCACAACAGUCAAAAAGGUGGAAAAUGAAGCUUUGUUGUCUGCCCAAAGUGAAAGUCGUGCAGAUUUUGAAGUUAAAGCAGAGCGUCCAGCUCGUAAAAGGAGGUGGACUGGCAAUUAAUUGCGAGAAGACAUUGAUUUUAGGUGGAUAAAGCAGUUCACUUCGUGGAGCAAAUAUCUCAUUGGCUAUCAUAUUUUUAAAUUUGGCACCCUCGUGGAGAUGUCCUUCAUAUGUGAUUUGAGUACCUCUUUGAUUCAGAGUUCUGUACCUUUCAGCAUAGAGGAUACGACCUUGUGAUGUGCUGCAGGCAGCCAUCUAUUUCAGUUCUAAACUUUCUGUUAUUGUCAUCUGAAGUAUAUGUAUAUACUGAUAAAUGUUGACAUCAUACCUCAGCAAGCUGGGUAAUAGAAAGUUUGAUAGUGUUUGUAGUUAGUGUAUUACUAGUAGCUAUUUGUAUUGCAUGGUCACCUAAUGUUCCUGACCAUGCCAAGAUCGGAUCUGGAUUGCCUGAUGCCUCGGUGCUUUUGGAGGAGAAGCUCUUCAUUUGCUGCUUUCCUCAAAUUAUAGUAAGGGAAUGGGAGAUACUGCGCAGCCAGAACAUGGAGCCGGGGUCUUCGUGAAACCUGUAGGUAGGAGCUCGUAGGUUAUUUGAAUGAGAUUAGAUUUUACCUGUUUUAGAUUGCAAUGUAUUCUAGAUGUAGAGCCUUUUU